rnacentral:lncRNA from 1 species
AUUCUUCUGGAACUUCUAUUUAAGAUACAGGUCUAGUAGGUAUAGAGCCGUAAGCGUGGUGGGGGUGCCGGUGCUUAGGCAGAUGCCCCAUUGUUCAUGAUGUUGCAAUGAAUCCAGUGGAUCAUCCUCAUGGAGGAGGUGAGGGGCGCACGAAAGGAGGUAGACCUUCGGUGUCACCUUGGGGAAAGCUCACCAAAGCAGGAUUUCGGGCAGUAGUAGGGGUGGUGAAACUUUAGAUGUCAAAUGCCACCAAUUUUUUUGCUCAAGUUAGAACGUAGUUUUUCGAAGUGAAUUGGCCAGUUCCUUUUAAAAGGAGACUGGUUUCUUUUUAUAACCGAUUGGCUUCACUUUAGAUUUUUUAUCGUAAUUUAUCUUUGAUUUAUGGGUUGUUAUUUAUUAUUUCGAUUUUUGAUAAACGAAACGAAUCCAAGCCCGACAAGUAGAAUUCCAUUCGGUACCUUUGGGGUUUUCUUUUUCCUUCUGGAUGACGAUGUCACCGCGUCUCCUUAUUGUUAUUGCGAUGGUGACGAGGAACAAAGGGCCGGGAAGAUCAUGAAAUUACCUCUAGCCCGGAGCCAGAGGGGGUCGUCGACACAACGCCAACCCUGGUGGUGGGGCACUUCGAAGGUCUGGAGACCCUCCUUGAGAUUCCCCCUUUACCGGAAACGCCACCCGCAGGUCCUUCCUUAGCUCCAGAAGAAAGGGAGCAAGCACCCUCUGUUGGCCUAAACCUCGAUCCAUCCCAGAGUAGCCGCCGGCUGGACGGCGGCGAACGGGGGGCAAACUCCUCAAAACGAAGUUCUACUUUGUCUUUGGAAGAAUUGGAAGAAUCGGACUCUAAGUUUAAAGUAGGAGUAGAGUCUUUAGAGGCUCGCUUAGAAGGAAUAAAGAGAAAAAAGCAACUGCAAGCACUCGGGGCUUCUCCUUUUGAGACCGCGAAAGCAGAGCUGGUUACGUCCAUUGGGGAAAAUUCCUAGUUUCGUGUGGGACUGCUUUUGUCUCUGGAUGUCAAAUGCCCCUUAACGGGCAAACGGGAGGCUCUCGAAAAUACGAUAGAGGCCAUCUUGAAAUGCCAAGGGCAAUUGCUAAAGAAAGUUUGAUUCGAUUUGAGUGUCCACUGAUAAUAGGUGCAUAAGAUAGGAAUAGGGAUGUGAUUGGCUCAAUUCUCAUAUGAAACUUGCCUUAUCUGGUAUCUCCUCCCAGCAGACAUGGUGAGUUGAGUCUCGAAGCAGCAGCUUAUAACUCAAGGUCUUUUAAAUAAAAGACGAUUACCUUUUUCUUACUUAUUCGUAAGAUUCUUUUCAAAUAAGACGUAUCUUGUUCAAGCCAAUAAAUAGAGCUGGGGUUAUAGUUAAAGCAGCCAGUAGAAACCGAAAUAACUAGUUAUAGUAAGCAUGAAAGGCUAUUGUCAGAGGUGCCUUUCAAUUUCAUUGACCUUGGUACUGCAUUUCAUAGAUACCUUCGCUAUUACAGUAACGCAAUUCUCCACUGAACCCAUUGACCUAGGUACCGAGUCUGUUAUGCGUACGUCUUUUCGGACUCUUUAUUUGUUUGUGGACACCAAAAAUGCAAACAUGAGAAAAGGGGAUCAUUCCAUUUUGAACACACCCAUCUAUCUCAUCUGACCUCUCCGAAUUCCCGAGUAACGAACCAUGGGCUAUAGAUGGUUGGGACAUAUCAUCAUCCGGAGGGAGUGGUCUUAAUACCGAUGUCUUUCUUUAACCUUUGGGAGGUCGAACCACUGAACCUAUUUCUUUGACCUUGGGACCGAUAGAUAAGAAGGCAAGGCAGAAGAACCAAUUGAAUCGCGGAGAACAGGUAGCUCCGGCAUGUGAACUUGUCGAACCAUUCAACUAUACUGUAUAUCGAUUGGCCACAUCAACACAUUUCACCUCGGAACUUGUACUUGGAAUAGAGCCAGCCUUGAGAUCCGCCACAUCUUCCUUCAAGUCAGAGAGUUGAGAUAGAACAGCUUCGCCUUUGACCGGUUUGCUGCUUUCCUUUAUACACAAGCCCCUAUUAUUAAGGUAUGGAGGUUUUUUCUGGAAUGACCAAAGAACAAGAGAAGUUCAAUGAGGUGCAAACGCAAGAAUUAAAGCAACAAGGACAAGUGCUAGGAUAGGAUCCCGAAGGAUGGCAUGCCUAUUCAGCAACGUGCAGAAAGGAUGGCUUCACGCAAGAAUCUUGAUGAACCAGGUAUGUCUUCUAAUCUGGAGACGUUUCCGCCUAUAUUCCUACUAAUGUAAUCUCCAUUACAGAUGGACAAAUAUUCUUAUCUGCGGAUCUAUUCAAUGCCGGAAUUCGACCCGCUAUUAAUGUGGGUAUUUAUGUUUCCAGAGUAGGAUCCGCGGCUCAAAUUAAAGCCAUGAAACAAGUAGCUGGCAAAUCAAAAUUGGAACUAGCUCAAUUCGCAGAGUUACAAGCCUUUUCACAAUUCGCCUCUGCUCCCCCUAAUAUGUACCUACCAAGAAUUGGGCCAGUUAGUUCAAGCGGUACCGAAUCACAAAGAAUAGUUGAGUUUUCUAAUUCAUCUAUUAUUCUAUUUUUUGCAUUUCUAGAAUAGCGUUGGAGUCGGGACACACAUUUCUGCCCGAUUUCCAACAGCAAACCAAAUAUGUUAUUGUGGAAAACGAAUUUCGCCAACACAGAAGAGUUUGUGUGCUUUUUAUUUUCACAUGAGUUUCACAUAUGUGAUGUUUGAGAGCUGUGUUUUUUUCCAACGUUAAUAGCAUUCCGCGAGAAAAGUCAUCUACGGAUGUUGUCAGCGGAGUCCCUCAUCCAUCCAUGUAUGAAUAGCGGUAUCCCCCAUUUUGGACAGUGAUCAGGUAGUCGACGCAAUUUGCAUGUGUAUUUGCGUUCGGCUUUGCUACUUUCCUUCUAGAAAAGAAUGUCCGCGGAAGGGAAUAGUCUACGUGGCCCGGGGUAGUCUCUCAAUUCCUUUAUCGGGUGGGAGAGUUUAGAACCAGUUAAGCCAAUAGUUGCUGCUUUAGUCACACUAGCUACAUCAGUUGAUCAUGGAUUUAGCAUACUACCUCAGAAUAGUCUACGUGGCCCCUUGUUUUUACUACAAUUUGAUAUAGUGAAUCCAGUAAUGCAGACAGCCCUUUUUAAAGCGCUUUUAAAGCCCUUGACUCUCAAAAAGAGCUGGAGGUUUUGCCUCAACUCAUUCCAUGAAUGUUGUUUCAUUCCCCACGCGGCUGAAUCCAACUCAGUCUUUAUCCUGCCUUGGAGUUCUCUCUCAUAACUGAAGCCAGGAGGUAUUCGAUUUAUCGGAUUUCGAGCUAGCUGCCCUUUUCUUGCUCCUUGCCAUUAGCGUAGCCCUUUUCUUUUUCUUAGCUAGCGUAGUUUUUCACCUUCAAAAGAAGGCGCCAGCUCUUUUGUAGUGACCCCGGAGGGGUCCCGGGUUGCUUUGGCGCGCCCCACCCCGUCAGUCCUAUGUUGUACUUGACUUGACUCUCCCCCGCUUGUUGUUUGCUGAUCGCAGUGUUCAAAAAUGGCACGAAGCUGGAUAUGAGUAGAUGUUGUUGGUCGAAAACGUCUUUCAUUCACAUUGAAACAGAAUGGUCUCGCUCGAUGCGUCAUUUUAGGCCGCGGUUGCUGGAGAUGGGGCAGAGGAGGCCUUGCGCGGGCGACGCGGUCAACGGGCACGGGCGAUGCAAGGGAACUUGGCGCUGGUCGUCAUCGUCCUCGUAUGCAGAAGCAGGGGAGGCCGGCGAUGAGGGCUCCGGGAGGUCGAUCCGGGCCGGAUCCGGGGCCACGACGGCGAAGCGGAGGAGAUCGGGGCCGGACGCGAACUUGACGGCUGCUGGGACGAGCGGGCGCUCGCUGGAUGCGGCGUCCUCCUCGUGCAGCAGAAGCAGGGGAGACCGUCAGGGUCCUGGACGGCGCCGCGGGGACUAGACGGCGAGGCAGAAGACGGCAGCUUGGCGCGGUUCCGAGGAAGGGCAACGCCAGAACAGGGCGGAGGGACUCGUUCCUGGCGGUGGCGGAGUUGCGGGGAACCAUGGCGGCUCCUGGAACACAGAGGGAGAGGCAUGAGAACCAAGGGAGUGAACCAGAGAGAGGAGGGAAGGAGGAGAAGAAGAAGGGAAGGGGCGACGGGUUCCUGGAGGAGCUCGAGCAUGAGGGCGACGCUCGGGUGGCUGGGUUCGUCGGCGGCAACGGCGCCAUGGAGAAAGGAGCAAACGGGAGAAACUCGCUCUCGGUCGGGGCAGCAGGGAUCUCUUGGUGGCUCCGACCGAAGGGGCUCGGGCUCGAGCGCUGGUUGGAUGGCUGCGUAGAUCGAGGGAGGAGGCUGCGGGUGCGGGUUGGAGGAAGGAAACUAGACUGAUUGGGGAUGGAUCCCGAGGGGAAUUUGGUGGAGUGGCGGCGCGAGACGGGAGGGAUGGGACAGGAUCCCUAGAUCCUAGGGUUGGACCUAUGUAUAUAGCAAGUAGUUUAGGUUAGGAGUAUUUAAUCCCUCCGAUCAAAAUCAAACGGCCCCGGAUAAAUAGGCUAGGGAGACCAAAUAAGAAAACGGAGAUGUUUUUGGGAUGUUUGGGGAUGAUCUGAAACCAACGGUAACGACUGAGCGGGUCGGGUUCCGGGUAGGUUUCGGACGCAUGCGAGGGGGGCUGCAAGCUGGCAAGAGAGGUUAGGUGGUCAGACAAAAAGGAAACAAAAACACGGUUGGUCUCGGGGCGAUCAACAAAAGCAAGGGGGGACGCGGCAAGUACGAGCAGAUGCAAGCUUUAAGAAAACAAUGCCAAUGCAAUGCAGAUGAUGCUAUGACAUGAAAUGCAAGACAUGAACAAAAUGCAAAACAAAAGACAAAAAACUAAACCACGGAGGAAAUAACAUAACACAUCUCCGGAAAAGGCAAGAGUUGGAGUUACGAAUAUGGAAAGUUGUAUCCGGGGCGUUACAGAUUGGUAGGUGUAGGAUUUUGAGUUGAGCAUCACAUGGAAAUUUUUCCUUAGUAUUUCCUCGACCCCCUUUAACAGUACGGUGUUUCCUAUGACUCAAGAAAGAGAACACGAAACAACGAAAACAAAAGUCUUCACGCUUCAUGUUCCUCAAAUGAAUACCAAGUCUUCAAGGUCACACCAAUUUCUUCAUUUUCAAAGUCUUCAGAAAGUCUUCAGAAUAUCAAAGUCUUUAGUCGAAGAACUUCAUUUUUAGGGGUCGACUUUCUCUGUAAAUAUCAAACUCUUCAUAGUCUUAUAGACAUGUGUACACUCAUAAACACAUUAGUCCCUUAACCUAUAAGUCUUCAAUACACCAAAAUCACUAAGGGGCACUAGAUGCACUUACAAUCUCCCCCUUUUUGGUGAUGGAUGACAAUAUAGGUUAAGUUUUCAACGGGGAUAAACAUAUGAAGUGUAAGUACUGAUAUUGAGGAAUUUGAUUGCAAGAUAUGGAAGAACUCCCCCUGAAGAUGUGCAUAGUGAGGAAUUUGCUUUUGAGGCAAUGCACAUUUGAAGAGUUGAAUCAUGGAGAUCUCCCCCUAUAUCUUGUAAUUCAUACACGCAUUCUACAUAUAAUAUGAAGAAUUUGAAAUGCAUGAUGAAAUAUGGUGACUGAUGUAAUUCAGCAUGUGUGUAUUAACAUAUAACAAAGAAUAAGCACGUAGAGGAACACAUCAAAAGUAUCAGAGCGCCAUCGGGUUUAAGAUUACAACUCGAUCCAAUAAAAGUUUCAGAAGAGCGAGAGUUGUAACUUAGCAAAAAAACGCCCAUAUAAUAGACCCGCUUGAAGACUAACUCAAAUUUCUCCCCCUUUGUCAUCGAAUGACCAAAAGGAUCGAAACUGAGGACUAACACCCCUGAAGAAUAUCAAGUUGAUGGAGGAGCGUCAGCGUUGUCGGGGUCGGUUGUCGUAGUAGGGCCUGCCGUAGUGUCGUCCAAGUCUUCAUUUUCACCAAUGUCGCGCGAUGAAGAAUAGGAGCUGGCCACCAAGGAAGGAACCUUGACCUUCUUGAAUUUCUUCGGUGGAGGUGCAGACCAGUCAAAUCCUUCCUUGAGACCCAUUUUCUUCAGAUCUUCUAUGAUGUAGACAUGAGAUAGAACAGCCCAGGUACGGUUGAAGGUUUCAUGGAGGUAGUAGUGGUUUUUCUUCACUGCAUUGUGUGUUGAGGUCAUGUUGUGAAGAAUUGAACCAAACUGACGCUUGACCCAUUUAUGAUUGCGAUCAACUUUCUGAUGAAGACUGAGGAGUAACUCACGAUCAGUCAUCACCCUGGGUGCUGUGGCUUGAGGAUUUUGCUUGGUAGAGGUAUUGGCGGCAGAGUCAUGUGUGGCAGAGUCAUGUGUGGCAGAGUCAUAAUUGGUGGAGUAGGAUGCAGCCUUGUGAAAUUGACCAUCCAAUGGACGAAUGCCUUCAUCUAUCACAGCAGUUGCCUUGCCUUUGUCAUCGGCUAAGGAAAAUGUCCGUUUGAGGACUUCAAUUGGAGGCAAGAAGCUGCCGUGGUUCAGAGUAUCAGCCUUGUAAUUUAGUGAAGACCUUAUCCUGAUGAACCUCAUAAUCCAUGGUGCAUAAGGCUUCAGCUCAAAUGAUGACAUAGCAAUAUUCACCAGAGUCCUCAUGAAGAAAUCAUGGAAGUUGACGGGAACGCCAUGAAUGAUAUUGAAAAGCAUAUUCUUCAUGAUGCCAACGACUUCUUCAUCAUUUGAGUCGUGGCCUUUGAUAGGACUCAUUGUCUUCGUCAGAAUGCGAUAGACAGUCCGUGGCACAUACAGUAAUUCCUUGAUGAGGAAUUUGGUUCGAGGGGCCUGCCCUGGCUUCAAAGGCUUCAUCAGCACUUGCAUGUAAUGAUUUGUAAGCUCAGGUUCGUUGUAGAUGCAACGAGCACCUUUAAGGGGAGGACUGAGUGGGAGGGCACGAAGCAAUUUAGUUGCUGGUGCCUUGUAGUGAGUAUUUUCUGACAUCCAGUCCAGCACCCAUGAGUUCACAUCUUCAGAAUUUCCUCUGAUGUGCAGCGUCGCAUAGAAUUGAAGAAUGAGUUCUUCAUUCCAAUCACAGAUGUCAGUGCAGAAAUUGAGCAAUCUAGCAUCGUGAAGAACACUGAGGACUGGCUCGAAGCCCGGCAGAGAUUCCAUGUCCACGUGAGGAAUGUGUGCAUGAUCGAAGACUUUGUCUUUGUUGAAUAGCACUGAGGAAUAGAAAUUGGCUUGACUAGCAGUCCAGAAAUGCCUCUUCCUUAUGCGAGCAGAAUCGUAAGGGUUGUAAUCAGUGAAGAAAACAUGCUCACUAAAGAAAUCUUCAGCCUUGAACUUUUGCUUGCGUGAGAAUGGAUCCGUUGGCUUUCGUAGAGGAGUGUCAGUGAGUUGCAUCACGACCUCAGGAAUCGCAAUCUCAGGUUCUUCAGGCUGAGGAUUUUCUGGUUCCUCUUCAUUUGCAGUCUGCGUGUUCAAAAGAUCAGUAGCUGUAGGUUCUUCAGCACUAGUGGCUGGAAUUUCUUCAUGCACAGACAAGGUGAGAUGAGUUUCUUCAGAGCCCAGCUGAACGGUUGGUGCAGGGGAUUGUGGUAUUUGUUGUAUUGGGGUGAAGAGUGGAGAAUUGGGAUGCUGACUUUCCCAAAAGUCAUCAUUCAUCACAGGCAUAGUGCAUCCAAUAUCCACAUCUUCGUCUUCAAUUUCUUCAACGCCAGCCUCUUCAGCUGUGAAUUGAGGCAUUGGCGAGGAAACAACAGGCGUUGAAGGGAUCGCAUCCACUUCAAUUUCUUCAUCAAUCUACUCUGACGAAGCAGCAAAAUGAUUUUCUUCAUCAGAUCCGCUAGGGAUCACAUAUUCUUCACCAAAAGGAACAAGGUCCUUUGAUGGCAUGGUGGAAAUCGGAACAGCAUCAAUCGGAUUUUCAAACGAGCUUGUCAUAGGCUUCAUCUUCUUUGGAGCUGACGAUUUUGAAACAGCUGAUGCUUUCCUUUUCUUCACUGCAGCUCGCUCUGCAGCCUUGGUCUUCUUCACGUCUGAUGCAGAUGGAAGGAUAGGAGUUGGUGUAGGCGCGGGAGGAGCUAAGGAAUCUGUUUGAAUUUCCUCAGGCGCAACUGUUGCAGUUGCCCUGACUUCUUCAGUUUCUUCAGGCGCACCACUAGUGGAUGCCCUGGCAAUUUCUUCAGUGGCUGGAAUGGAGUCAUCAGCCCUGGAACUAGCAUUUUCUUCAGCAGGCUGAAAGUCAUCAGCGGUGCUGGCAUGUUCUUCAGUUGGCUGAGCAGAGGCUCCAGCUUGAGGAACUUCUUGUAGCGAUGGGGCUGCAACAUUUGUGAAUUUCUUAGUCAGUUUCACAAACCUAACUUUGGCUCCUUGCCAAUCAGCAUAAUAAGCAUUGAAAUCAUCGCUGAGGACUCUGAUUUCAGCUUGGAUCUUCACAAGAUCGUCAGUGGUCAUAGAGAGAAUGUUAUUCUUCAAAAACUUUUCCUUCUUGUAUUGAGCCUUCUUGAUCUGCCUAGCCUUCUCAAAUUUCCAUUUCUCUUCAGUGAUGAAAUGGGUCAGCAUGUGACUUUGGCCAGGAGUCAAAUGAAAAUCAGGCAUACGCGUGUCUGGAUCCUUGUGCCAGAGAUCAAUGUAAUCGAGGAUCGCCCUUGGAUCCAAAAGCAGUGGCACAGGUGUGCCUUUGGCUCUAGCGGCCCUUUCUUUUCUGUCUCUGAUGAUUUCUGCAAGUUCAUCAUCAUCAGCUUCAUCGUCACAUGGCACUUGGAAGGCAACCUAUUUCUUCUUCGGACUUGGCCGAGGACCCCGACCAGCCGUUGCCUUUGUCUCCAGCAGAGUGGGGCCUGAUGAAGAGUUUGGUGCAGCUGAGGAACUCGCUGAGACACCAGAGGCAAUAGUGAUGCCUGCAGUCCUUUGGCACGUGGCCAAAUGUACAGGUGUUGAGGACUUUGCCGGAGCAGCUGAGGACUUUGGGGGAGGAGUUGAGGAUUUUGGAGGAGCAGGAGCAGCAUGAGGAAUUGGUCGUGAGGGCUUUGAAGAAUCUGGCCGUGAGGGCAUUGCUGAGGAACUUGGCCGUGAGGGCACAGUUGGUGAAGCACUUGGUUUGUGAGUUGGCUUCUUUGCCAUUGAUUUUCUAGGCUUGACAGAGGCCUCAGUGGCAGCAGCGGUAGCAGAGUCUUCAUUGAAUUUCCUCACUGCUUCUUUGGCUUGUCUCGCCAACUUGGCUUGGCGUUUGGCCCAUUCUUCAGGAAAAUCCUCACCAUGCUUGAUGUUGGUGGGGUCAGCUUCUUGGCCAGGUGCCAAUGGAGCUCUUGGGCAUGGAGGAUUUAGUGCGAAUUUCUUCAUAUACUUUGGAGUAACAUACCUGCACUCCCUCCAUUCUCUUGCCCAUCUCCUUUCAAUCCUCUGUAUGCGCACCUUGCGCUGAUUUUUGUUCUCCUUUCCAAACUUGGCCUCAUCAGGUGUGCAAUAGUCAGCAUAGAUGUCCUCAGUUAUUUCAAAUGCAGUCAUGACCUCAGGCCUCUUUCCUCCUUUCUGUGGCUUCUUACCGUCUGCCAUAUUCUUCAGUUGAGGAAUUUGAACAAUCGAAUUCUCUGAAGAAGUAUGCAACUUUUCUUCGAGGAACGCUGCAAAUGAGUUAAGUUGAUGAGAACCUAGUGAUUCAGCAGCGGACAUGAGUACCUGUGAACAGAGUAUAGUUGCGAGGAAUUUGGAGAGGUCAUAUGCAUUCUCAGAAAGUUUUUCAAAAAGAACAAGUUUGAGAAAUUUGACCAGAUGAGCCUUGAAGAAUUUCACUAAGCAUUCUUUGUCUUAGGUUCCAGAGUUGUGUAGAUCGAGGAUCCACACAAUUGAGAAAUCUUGAAGAAAAAUGAUGCUUAGAGAAACGAAUAAAGAACAGAUGACUAGUGAGGUGUUUUGUGUGUGAGGAUUUGAAGAAUAAAACACCUUUGAAGAUUUUGUAGAGAAAAUUUGAAUCAAAGAGGGCAGUAAAAGUAACUUUUAAUUACCCUUGAUGAAGAACACGACGAACUGAGAAGUGUAGAUUUGAAGCUCGUCAGUUCAGAUCUUCCACGCCCUAACUCGGCGAAGGAAGACAGCUACGGCGGCGGCGGAGUGAAGAUUUCCGCAGCCGGCGCGAAUACGACGGCGACGAGGUCGAGGCAGUGAAGCUCUUCCUCACCGGCAACGAUGGAGUAGCGGCGGCGCUAGGGUUUGAGAAGCUCGAGUGAGAUAGAGCAGUCGAGCGGAGUAAAGGAAGUGAGGAAGGGGUGAGGGGGGUAUUUAUAGUCGCAGUGAAAAAUUGUUCGCUCGAAGAUUUAGGACGAACGUGCCCCUGACCCUUCUCAUUCGCUUGACAUGUGUCACCCACGUACUGAAAAGUGGAGAUCGUGUUAGAUCAUGGGUAAAUAGAUAAGUCUAUCGUGGGAUACAGAACGGUUUGAGCGGCAAAGCCGAAAAUUUGGAUAAGAUAAGUUAAAAUUUCUGUUCGCAAUUUCUUCAGCUGACAAGGACACAGUGAAGAUUUUGAACGAGUUUCAAAUAGAACGCACAUGAAGAAUUUGUGAAUAGAUUGGGUUGAGUAUAGCAUAGAGGGGAAAGGGUCCGAUCACAUUCACUUAGCAGAAAACGCAACUUGAAGAAAUAGCCAUAAGUGAAUGAUGUAGAGGACGUAAACUCUUAUAUAUAUAUAUAUAGCCAAUGAAGAAAAACAACGAAAACAGUGAAGAUUUUGAAAAGUUGAAGAGUUUGUAAAACUGAAGAAUUUCAAAACUGAGGAAUUUCAAAAAAUGAAGAUUUUCAACUUUGGUGGUGGCGUGACCCACCGUAUAAGAAUGAUGAUUUCAGACACCGCGUACAAUUGUCGUAGGGUUCUGAGAAUCAAAUUCUUCAUUAAUUUCUUCACACUUAGAGUGUUAUUCUUCAUUGAUUGAAGGAAAACGUGUCUUCAUGUGUUGCACAUCUAAGUCAUCAAUUUUGCAUAAGUGUUAGGAUGAGUGUCUCUUUCAAAGAACAAUCGAAGACUCUAAGAUAUUUAGCUCACACCGCAACUUGCUAAAUCUCUUCUCAUCCAACGGCUUUGUGAAGAUAUCGGCUAGCUGUUCUUCAGUCUUCACGUGCUCGAUGGAGAUGUCACCCUUCAACACAUGAUCAUGAAGAAAAUGAUGACGAAUCUAAAUGUGCUUUGUCUUCGAGUGCUGAACUGGGUUGUGAGCAAUCUUGAUGGCACUCUCAUUGUCACGGUAGAAAGGCACAUUCUUCACGUUGAUGCCGUAGUCCUUGAGAGUUUGCUUCAUCCACAGCAAUUGAGCACAGCAAGAACCAGCAGCAAUGUACUCAGCUUCCGCAGUAGACAGUGAUACGCAGUUCUGUUUCUUCGAGGACCAACAGACCAAAGAUCGUCUGAGGAAAUGACAAGUACCAGAUGUUGACUUGCGGUCCACACGAUCACCAGCAUAGUCAGAGUCAGAAUAUCCAAUGAGAUCAAAAGUAGAGCCCUUGGGGUACCAUAAUCCUAGUGUUGGUGUGUGAGCUAGAUAUCGAAGAAUAUGCUUCACAGCCUUAUGGUGUGAUUCCUUCGGUGUAGCUUGAAAUCAGGCACACAUGCAAAUACUAAGCAUUAUAUCUGGCCUAGAUGCACAUAAGUACAAUAAAGAACCAAUCAUGGAGCGAUAUACCUUGUGAUCGAAGUCAAUACCAUUUUCAUUAGUGCAUAGAUGGCCAUUUGUGGGCAUAGGAAUUUUGACGCCUUUGCAAUCUUGCAUGCCGAAUUUCCUCAGAACAUCCUUGAGGUAUUUCUCCUGAGAUAUGAAUAUGCCAUUGUGUUGUUGACGAAUUUGAAGACCUAAGAAGAAUUUCAACUCUCCCAUCAUAGACAUUUGAUAUUCUUCACUCAUUAUAUAGGCAAAUUCAUCAAUUGGGUUUCUUGUCAGUGAGGAGUUCAUAGGCAGUCUUCUUGAAGAAUUUGUGAAGAUAUACUCUGUUGAUGAUGCGGCACGCGGUAUCAAUUGCAUCAAUCCAAAAACGACGAGGCGUUUUGUAUUCAUCAAGCAUAGUGAGAGCCAUCUCAACAGGGGUUCUGUUCUUGCGUUCCACGACCCCAUUUUGCUGAGGAGUAUAAGGAGCAGAUAAAUCAUGAGUAAUACCAAGUUCAACAAGAUAGUCAUCAAGACCAGAAUUCUUGAACUCAGUUCCAUUGUCACUCCUGAUGUGCUUGAUCUUCACACCAAAGUUAGUUGAAGCCCUCGAGGAGAAUCGUUUGAAGACUUCCUGCACUUCAUGUUUGUAAGUGACAAUAUGUACUCAUGUGUAACGAGAGUAAUCAUCAACAAUAACAAAGCCAUAUAGAGAUGCAUCAUUAGUGACUGCUGAGUAAUGAUUAGGAACAAAGAGGUCCAUGUGAAGCAAUUCAAAUGGACGAGUAGUGGUCAUGAUAGUCUUCGCUGGAUGCCUGGCCUUGGUCAUUUUUCCAGCUUCACAGGCUCCACACAAGUGAUCCUUGAGGAAUUUGACAUUCUCAAUGCCAAUGACAUGCUUCUUCUUCGCAAGCGUGUGCAAAUUCCUCAUGCCUGCAUGACCAAGUCAUCGAUGCCAUAGCCAGCCUUCUGAAGCUUUUGCAAGUAGGCACAUGGCUGGUUGUGGUCCUGUAGAGAAAUCAACAACAUACAGAUCUCCUCUCCUAAAGCCUUCGAAGACUUUGGAAUGGUCAGCUUCCAUGAUCACAACACAAUGAUACUUGCCAAAGACAACAACCAUAUCAAGAUCACAAAGCAUUGAGACAGACAUGAGGUUGUAUCCUAAGGACUCAACAAGCAUGACUUUGUCCAUGUGUAUAUCCUUAGAGAUCACAACCUUACCUAGACCCAAUACCUGACUUUUGCCUUUGUCAGCAAAGAUGAUAUGCUUCAGAUGUGAUGGUGGUAAGGGAGCAUCCAUCAAUAGGUUCUUGUCACCAGUCAUGUGAUUUGUACAUCCAGUAUCGAGGACCCACUCAGUGGCUUUGGGUUGAUCAUCCUACAGAUGAAUUAGUGCAACUUACGAACUCAUAUACUUCAUCAGUGAAGAAUAUGAUAUCAAAUUCAUCAGAUGAAUUUAAUCAAACUGUAAAACAGAUAUAGCAGUAUGAGGACGUGUGAAAUGAAAGUUCAUUUCAUCAUGAUUCACCUGCGUCCUUUCAGGCAUUUUUGUCAGGCCCCCAGCAAAUUCUUCAGACGUUAAAGCACGUCUGGAGACCUGACCCUGCGGAAGAAAUUAGUUCUUUUUCUUCACCACCCACAUCUGAAGGGGUGGAAAAGAGUUCAUCACUCUACGAGCUCCAUACGAGAAUGGUGGCAUAGAAGCCAAUCCAUUUCGUUUCACAUAAGAGGGGUUAGGGUAAGCAUAUGAAUAAGCAGAGAAAUUCUUCGAGGACUUAUGAACAUAUUGGUUUGAAGAAUAAUGCACAUAUUCAUAGCCCUUAGCUCUACCCUGCGAAACAGAGUUGUUAGCACGAUGAUAAUCAUAUGAGGAUUUUGAUCCUUUUGAGGAAUUUGAUCCACGUGAGGAAUUUGGUCCGUAUGAGGACUUGGAUCCAUAUGAAGAAUUUGGUCCAUAUGAAGAGUUUGAUCUGAGGUUCCUAUUCUUCACUGGUGGUGUCAUGAGGACAUUCACCUGAAGACUUUCAAGGCACUUCUUGGGAACCCAGAUUUUCUUCAUAGGAGAACCGUUCCUGCAGUUAGUGCCAACAUAUCUAGCAAAUACUUCACCAUUCUGAUUUUUGAAACAUUUAUAGUUGGAGUCAAAUGACUCAUCAGAAGAAUGAGGAGAUUCACAUGUAAAGCCAGAUAAGUUAGAUGGAUCAACUGGAGGUCCCUUUGCAGCAACCCAUGAGGUUUUGGGGUACUGCUCAGGCUUCCAAUAUGUUCCAUCAGCAUUGAGUCUCCUAUCAAAGGCAAUACCCUCUUUCCUAGGGUUCCUGUUGAGGAUCUGCUUUUUAAGUACAUCACAAAGAGUCUGAUGGCCUUUGAGGAUUUUGUACAUGCCUGUCAUGUACAAUUCCUUCAGCCCUGCAUCGUCAGUGAUACUAGCAAUGUCCUCAGAUGAGGAAUUAGUGAUAGCAGAGGCAGGUGAAGAAUUUGUAACAGUUGAAGCAUUUGAACAUUCAGGUGAAGAAUUAGCAGAUUCACAUUCAAUGCACUUUAAGCAUGGAGGAACAAAUUCUUCCUGAGAAGCGCUGAUUUGUUGAGCUAGCAAUGAAUCGUGCUCCUUCUGAAGAUCUUCAUAACUCACUCUUAGCUUCUCAAGAUCUUGCUUUCUUUGAAGAAGUUCAAGAGAAAGCUUCUCGUGAUCAGAUAAGCGAGCGUUAUGAUGACCUUGAAGGCUGUCAAACCUAGACUAAAGUCUCUGAAGAUUUUCAGUCAGGGCUUUAGUGCGAUCCAUUUCUUCACCCAACAUAUCAUCACUUUUGUCUAGCAUGUUUUGAACCUUUUCAAAAGCCAUUUGUUGUUUUACAGCAAUCUUAGCAAGUUUAGAGUAGUUGGGCUUGAGAUCUUCAUCAGAUUCAUUCUCACUAGAUUCAGAGGAGGUAUAUUUGAGUACCUUUGCACCCUUUGCCAUGAAGCAAUAGGUGGGAGCGUAGUCAUCAUUAUCUUUGUCAGCCUUGUUGGUGAGGUCAAGUUCUUCAGAGUUGAAGAUGGACUUGCUGACGAAUGCAGUAGCGAGAGCCAGACUCGCCACACCAGACUCGGACUCCUCAGAUGCCUCCUAUUCCUCAUGUUCCUCAGAUGCAGCUUCAGAGUCCAUUUCCUUGCCAAUGAAUGCCCGAGCCUUCUUGGAGCUGCUCUUCUUGUGAGAUGAAGACUUCGAGGAUUUUGAUGAUGAAGAUUUUGACGAUUUCUUCUUCUUCUUAGCGUCAUCAGAACUGUAAUCCUUGUAUUUCUUCUUCUUUAAUUCCUUUUCCCACUGAGGACAAUCUUGAAUAUAGUGACCAGGUUUCUUGCAUUUGUGGCAUAGCCUUCUCUUAGAGUCACUUGAUGAGGAAUCACUGCUCCUUGAGGAUUUUCCAAAGCGACCAUGUCUUGAGAACUUCUAGAACUUCUUCACGAGAAGUGCUAGCUCCUGGCUCAAUUCUUUAGGAUCACCAAGGCUACUACCAGAAUCUUCACAUUCAGAUUCAGACACAGCCUUGGCCUUCAGGGCACGUGUUUUGCCAUAGCUUGAACCAUAGAGAUCUCUCUUUUCAGCAAGCUGGAUCAUGAGUAUUUAGCCUCUCGAGGAUACCAGCGGGAUCUAGUGACUUGUAGUCAGCAUGUUCUUGUAUCAUCAGUGCCAGAGUAUCAAAUGAGGAAUCAAGCGAUCUCAACAAUUUCUUCACCACCUCAUGGUCGGUGAUGUCAGUGGCACCAAGUGCUUGAAGAGAUGUCAGUGAGGCGAUCGAAGGUUUGUUGAACAUUUUCAUUGUCGAGUCUUUUGAAGCGAUUGAAGAGAUUGCAAAGAACAUCAACUCGAGAGUCACGCUGAGUUUAGACACCUUCAUUUACUUUGGACAGCCUAUCCCAGAUAAGCUUAGCAGUUUCCAAAGCACUCACUCUUCCAUACUGUCCUUUGCUCAGAUGGCCACAUAUGAUAUUCUUCGCUUGAGAAUCGAGUUGCUUGAAUCUCUUCACAUCGGUAGCGUUCGGUGAGGGUGAGACAGUGGGAACACCAUUUUCCACAACAUACCAGAGAUCGUUAUCAAUUGCCUCAAGAUGCAUUCGCAUCUUAUUCUUCCAGUAAGGGUAGUCUGUCCCAUCGAAGGUAGGACAGCCAGCAGAGACCUUGAUCAUACCUGCGGUCGACAUAACUAAAACUCCAGGUGGUUAAACCAAAAUCACACAGAACAAGGGAGUACCUUGCUCUGAUACCAAUUGAAAGUGCAUUAUAUCGACUAGAGGGGGGUGAAUAGGCGAUUUUUAUGAAUUCUUCACUGAGGAAUUUGCCGGUGAGGAAAUUCCUUAGCGAAGAACUACUUGUAACAGAAUAAGUACUUAGAAGUAAGCAUAACAGAAUACAGACAUAGUCAUCAUGAUGAAAUGGAGACAAGCACAGAGUACAGAAAGCGUAAUCAUAGGAUAACACAAGAUGAAGACAAACAGACUGAAGAAAUUGAACUAAGGAAAUUGAGAAAGUCUUCAGUCAAAGUCUUCAAACAUAGAUAUGAACAAUCACUCAACACAGUAAUGAGGAAAUGAAAGAGUUGAGGAAAUAGAACCAGUAAGGUUGGUGAAGACAAUGAUUUGGUAGACCAGUUCCAACUGCUGUCUCAGUUGUAUGUCUGGUUGGAGCGGCUGAGUAUUUAAACUCGAGGACACACAGUCCCGGACACCCAGUCGCUGAGCACGCAGCUCAGGACUCCAAGUCCUCACCGUAUUCUCCUUGAACUAAGGUCACACAUACCUCGUUCAGUCACUCAUGGUAAGUCUUCAGGCGACUUCCAAACCUUCACAGACUCGGUCGCUCGGCGAUCCACAAUUCCUCUUGGAUGCUCUAGACCAUGACGCCUAACCGUUUGGAAGAAGCACAGUCUUCAAAGGUAACAAGCAUCGGAUCCACGCAGGAUCAAUCUCUUCAGUGAUGCUCAAUCACUUUGGGGUUGUAGGUGUUUGGGUUUGGGUUUUUCCUCACUUGAUGAUUUUCGCUCAAAGUCCUUGGAGGAUGGGAUGCUCUCAAAUGACAAGUGUCAGUUUCUCUCGGAGCAGCCAACCAGCUAGUGGUUGUACGGGGGCGGCUAUUUAUAGACUAGGGAGCAGCCCGACAUGAUAAGACAUAAAUGCCCUUCAAUGAUAUGAUCGUUAGGUGGAUAAGAUAUUUUGGGACAGCUGGCGCGCAGCACAGCAACGGUCGGAAAUUUGACUCUCAAAUUCCUCAGGGCUAUCAUGUUCCUCACUGUGUAGGCAAUCCGCAUUGGCGAAUUCCUAACUCCUCAGUCAGAACAAAUUCCUCAGCGACCAGAAGAACUUCGUCUCUGUCACUGAAGAAAUUGACUGAACUGUAUGAGAUUUCCAAAGGCUUCACUCGAAGGGAUUGGUAGGUGUAGGAUUUUGAGUUGAGCAUCACAUGGAAAUUUUUCCUUAGUAUUCCCUCGACCCCCUUUAACAGGACGGUGUUUCCUAUGACUCAAGAAAGAGAACACGAAACAAUGAAAAAAAAAGUCUUCACGCUUCAUGUUCCUCAAAUGAAUACCAAGUCUUCAAGGUCACACCAAUUUCUUCACUUUCAAAGUCUUCAGAAUAUCAAAGUCUUCAGUCGAAGAACUUCAUUUUAAGGGGUCAACUUUCUCUGUAAAUAUCAAACUCUUCAUAGUCUUAUAGACCUGUGUACACUCAUAAACACAUUAGUCCCUUAACCUAUAAGUCUUCAAUACACCAAAAUCACUAAGGGGCACUAGAUGCACUUACAGGUCCGGACGGCCUCCCGGUUAAAUUUUUCCAGACCUUCUGGAACAUGAUUAAACCGGAGGUCAUGGCCAUCUUCGACGAGUUCUACGUGGGCUCCAUCGAUCUCGGGUGACUCAACUAGUGGAUCAUCUCUCUCAUUCCCAAGGUUCCUGGUGCGUCCGACAUUCGUCAAUUUCGCCCGAUCACAGUCAUUAACGUGAUCUUCCGGAUCCUGGCCAAAGGGUACGCCAAUAGGGUGACCCUGCUGGCUGACCGUGCGACUCACCCCAACCAGUCGGCCUUCAUUAAGGGUCGUUAUAUCCUGGAUGGGGUCCUAGUUCUUCAUGAAGUCCUUCAUGAGGUCCGCAUCAAACACCUCAAGGCGGUUUUCCUGAAGAUUGACUUCCAUAAGGCCUAUGAUACGGUUAGCUGGCCCUUCCUUCGGGAAGUCCUUCUUCGGAAGGGAUUCGAUGACCGGUGGAUCACUAGAGUCAUGCAAAUGGUCUCUUGCGGUCGCACGGCCGUGAACAUCAACGACGAGAUUGACCCUUUCUUCCCCACCCUCUGUGGGCUUCGACAAGGCGACCCCAUCUCCCCGUUCUUGUUCAAUAUGGUCGUGGACGCGCUUGCCUCCAUCCUGGAUAAGGCGAAAGCUGCUGGCCAUAUCCGUGGGAUUACCCCCCACCUCGCUGGUGGCUCCGGAAUCUCCAUCCUCCAGUAUGCUGACGACACUAUCAUCAUGGUCAAAGGUUUGGAGACGGACAUCUCCAACCUCAAGUUCCUCCUCCUCUGCUUCCAACAAAUGUCUGGCCUCAAGAUCAACUUCGACAAGAGUGAUGUUAUGGUGAUGGGCUACUCCCCCUCGGAGUCUUUGGCCAUUGCCAACGGGCUUAAUUGCCGCAUGGGCUCCUUCCCCUCGACCUACUUGGGUACGCCCAUUAGUGACUCCCGGCUCACCGUCGCGGACUUGCGCCCUUCCGUGGCCAAGAUCCAAACGCGCAUCGAGCCCUGGCAGGGGAGGUGGUUAUCUAAGGCGGCCCGGACUAUUCUCAUCAACUCUUCCCUCUCCAGUCUCCUCUUGUUUCUCAUGAGCUUCUACAGUCUCCACGAGACCCUGCAUCAUGAGAUCGUCAAGGUCCAAUCUCGCUUCUACUGGGCGGGUGACAACAAUAAGCAGAAGUAUCAUAUGGUCAGCUGGUCGGACAUUUGCAAGCCCAGGGAGCAAGCUGGCCUAGGAAUUAUGUGCUCUAAAUGGAUGAAUAUGGCCCUCCUCUCCCGCUGGCUUUGGCGCAUCUCGCAAGGGCAUGGUGGCCUCUGGCUUGACAUCAUCCGGAAAAAAUACUUGCGCGGACAGCCCCUCGCCUUCUGCCAGAAGUCUGGUGGAUCCCAGUUCUGGCAAUCAAUUGUCCAGCUACUUCCGAUCCUCCACAUCGGGACCUCCAUCUCGGUCGGCUCCGGAGCUUCGACGUUGUUCUGAUUUGAUCGCUGGGCCGGGGACACCCCCUUUGCGGCGCGCUUUCCCGGCCUCUUCUCCAUCUCCGUCGAUCCCGUGAUUUCUGUCGAAAGGUCCAUUCUUGACCUAGGGCGCCUUGCUUUUCAAAGGCCUUUUGGUCCCUUGGAAUCCGCCACCUGGCGUGAGUUGCUUGAUUGAGUUGCCCUCCACGAACCUAUGGUGGACGGUGGCCCUGACCUAGUGCGCUGGCGCCUUGAUCCUUCGGGCCAGUUCUCCACCAAGUCGUUGUACCUGCCCAUCGUACCCUCUUCCGCCCCUCCCCCUAUCGACGUGUGGCCCAUCCACCUUCCUCUGAAGAUCCGUAUCUUCAUGUGGCAAUGGAUUCGCGGGCGGGUCCCGUCUGGGGUUGAGGUGCGCAAGCGGAAUGGCUCGGGCACUGGCAUCUGCCCACUUUGCGGUGUCCCCGAAGACUCGAAUCACAUUUUCUUCUCCUGUGUGUCCGCCCAGUUCAUCUGGAGUUGCUUUCGCGAAGCGGUCGGUGGAAAUUGGUGCCACACCAACUUUCCAGACUUAUUUGCCGAACUCCAAAUGUCCCCCUUGUCGUCUCGCCACAUUAGGUGGCUUGAGAUUGGGGUUCUCGCUUUGACCCUCUGGACGAUCCGCAAUAAGCUUGUGAUUCAGCGCACUCCUCUUCGACGGGCUACUGACGCUCUCUUCAAACUUUUGGCUUUCUUGCAGCUUUGGCGGCCGCUUAGCCGCCCUCCGGACCGCGACGCCAUCUCUGCCUUCAUCGCCGACCUCCACUCGAUGGGUGUCCGUCUGUCGCCGCCGCCCCCGCCGCCCCCGCCGGAACCAGACUAGACGCUUUCCUCAUCCGGCUUUUUCUGGUUUUUAUUUUUGGGCUUGUUAAGUUGUGCCCUCAGCAGAACCUUUGUAAUAUGUUGUGAGACUUGUGUGUGUGUGUGGACUAGUCCUUGUAUGUGUGCUCUAUGGUGGUUUUCUUUAUUUAUAAAGCGGGGCGAAAGCCUUUUUCGGUAUUGCAUUACUCUUUUUUCCAUCAACUAAAUACACUAGAUGCAUGCUGGAUAGCGAUCGAUGUGUGGAGUAAUAGUAGUAGAUGCAGGAAGGAGUCGGUCUACUAAUAUUGGACGUGAUGCCUACAUAAUGAUCAUUGCCUGGAUAUCGUCAUGAUUAUUUGAAGUUCUAUCAAUUGCCCAACAGUACUGUUUGCUAUUUUUCUCGAGAGAAGCCACUAGUGAAACCUACGGCCCCUGGGUCUCUUCUUUAAUAUAUUUGCCUUCAUGAUCUAUUUUCCUUUGCUUUUAUUUUCAGAUCUAUUAAACCAAAAAUACAAAAUACCUUGCUGCACUUUAUUUCAUUUGCGAUCUAUUUAUCCUAUCUAUCACAACUUUAUCACGUCUUCUCGCCAAUUUGAGGCACCGUUACCCGAAAGUGAUUGACAACCCCUUUAACACGUUGGGUUGCGAGUAUUUGUUAUUUGUGUGCAGGGGCUGUUUACAUUGCGUUGCUUGGUUCUCCUACUAGUUCGAUAACCUUGGUCUCGUCACUAAGGGAAAUACCUACCAUCGUUGUGCUGCAUCAUCCCUUCCUCUUUGGGGAAAUACCGAUGUAGUUCAAGCAGGCAUCAUGACCCCUGAUAAUUUGAGUCAGAAGGAUUAAGAGGUUGACGAAAGAGACCAGCUUUUGGAAGGGAAAGAGUCAGACUAUGUGGCACCUCGUUUUGACGCUUGCGAGGGGCAAGAGUGUUGGGUAAGCCGGAGACAAGCUCUUGGGUCCCGUCAUUCUGGGUCAUGCGUCUUGAGGUAUGUUGUUGUUGCUUCAAAAGAAAAUCGGGGUCCAAAUGAGCAAGAGGAUGAGAAAAUCUUACUUUCCGGAUGAUCCGUCGUAUUCUCUUUCUUUGCAAAGGUUCUGAGUCGGAGGAGAUAGGAAUUACCUCUACCGCGUCAGCUUGGCUUGUCUUCUUGUCAUCCUGAGAAGAGUCGGCAUCAAUAAGUUGCAUCAAAAGACAACCAAGAGAGUCAAGUUCUACCUCUGAGUCAUCUAUCUUGAGGAGAUUGUCUGUUGUUUGCUUUUUAUGGCGAGUCGGAGCACGGGCUUUGGACUUAAUCUUCUUGACCGGGACGGCGGCUUGCAGCCUCUUGCUAUAGAAAGGAGAGUCGGCAUGCGGAUGCAUGAGUAAUAAGUUAAGCAAUAUGAAAUGCAAAGGAAUAAGCAAACAAAUUGAAGGGUCAUCCAAGAUACUUACAAGCGGAGGCGGGUUAAGUGUAUAGAAAGGGUUCACUCCCACUUUGCGGCAAUUCUCCAGGGUUUCUCCAAGCAAUGAUUUAACUAUGGCAGUAGUGAAGGAAAUAUGCCCUAGAGGCAAUAAUAAAGUUGUUAUUUUAUAUUUCCUUAUAUCAUGAUAAAUGUCUAUUAUUCAUGCUAGAAUUGUAUUAACCGGAAACUUGAUACAUGUGUGGAUACAUAGACAAAACACCGUGUCCCUAGUAUGCCUCUACUUGACUAGCUCAUUGAUCAAAGAUGGUUAUGUUUCCUAGCCAUGGACAUGUGUUCUCAUUUGAUGAACGGGAUCACAUCAUUAGGAGAAUGAUGUGAUGGACAAGACCCAUUCGUUAACUUAUCAUAAUUAUCGUUCAGUUUUAUUGCUACUGCUUUCUUCAUGUCAAAUACAUAUUCCUCCGACUAUGAGAUUAUGCAACUCCCGGACACCGGAGGAAUGCCUUAUGUACUAUCAAACGUCACAACGUAACUGGGUGAUUAUAAAGAUGCUCUACAGGUAUCUCCGAAGGUGUCUGUUGGGUUGGCAUAGAUCGAGAUUAGGAUUUGUCACUCCGAGUAUCGGAGAGGUACCUCUGGGCCCUCUUAGUAAUGCACAUCAUAUGAAGCCUUGCAAGCAAUGUGACUAAUGAGUUAUUGCGGGAUGAUGCAUUACAGAACGAGUAAAGAGACUUGUCGGUAACGAGAUUGAACUAGGUAUGAAGAUACCGACGAUCGAAUCUCAAGCAAGUAACAUACCGAUGACAAAACGUAUGUUGACAUAGCGGUUCAACCGAUAAAGAUCUUCAUAGAAUAUAUGGGAACCAAUAAGAGCAUCCAGGUUCUGCCAUUGGUUAUUGAUCAGAGAGGUGUCUCGGUCAUGUCUACAUAGUUUUUGAACCCGUAGGGUCUGCACGCUUAACGUUCGAUGACGAUUUGUAUUAUAUGAGUUAUGUGUUUUGGUGACCGAAGGUUGUUCAGAGUCUCGGAUGAGAUCACGGACAUGAUGACGAGUCUCGAAAUGGUCAAGAGGUAAAGAUUGAUAUAUUGGAAGGUGGUAUUCAGACACCGGAAGUGUUCCAGAGUGUAUCGGGUACAUACUGGAGUACCGGAGGGGUUACCGGAACCCCCUGGGGAAGGAUAUGGGCCAUAUGGGUCAUAGGAGGAAGGCUAACAGAAGGAGUCCGGAUUGGACUAGGGGAGGGGGCGGCACCCCCCUUUCCUUCUCCUACUCCCUCUCCUUUCCCCUUUCCCGCUCCGGUAAAAGGGGGCGCAUUGGACUAGGAGUCCAAGUGGGACUCCUUCCCACUUGGGGCAUGCCUAGGACAGCCUCCUCCCCUCUCCCUCCUUUAUAUACGGGGGCGCCCCUAGAGGACACACCAAUUGGUCCAAGCUGUGUGCGGCGCCCCCCUCCACGGUUUACGCCUCCGGUCAUAUUCUCGUGGUGCUUAGGUGAAGCCCUGCGCGGAUCACAUCACUAUCACCGUCACCACGCUGUCGUGCUGGCGGACUCAUCUACUCCUUCGACCCUCUGCUGGAUCAAGAGCUCAAGAGACGUCAUCAUGCUGAACGUGUGCAGAACUCGGAGGUGUCGUGCGUUCGGUAUGAGAAGACGUUCGACUACAUCAACCGCGUUAAGCAAAUGCUUCCGCUUUUGGUCUACGAGGGUAUGUGCACACACUCUCCCCCUCUCAUUGCUAUGCAUCUUCUAGAUAGAUCUUGCGUGAGCGAAGGAAUUUUUUUGAAAUUACAUGCUAUGUUUCCCAACAAGUAGUCUCAUCAUCGUUUAAGGAUGUUUGAUUAAAGCAUUGGGGAUCUUUGGUGGCACAUGUGUAUUCACACAUUGAGCUGCUGCGCCGGCUCAAUGGCAAGAUUCUCCAAGAUACCCAACAGCGGACCAAGUCAACUCCAGAUAAGCCAUUGGCUACCAAGGCCCUUAUUUUUUAGAAAAUGGAUGAAUAUUUAACCCACUCGGCAGCUGUAAUACGAUUUGUAAGCUCGUGUGUAGGGCUAAGCUGGAAGGUGCGGAAACCCAGCAAGGGAUUCUCACCGGGUGGAGAGGUAUCAUGUCAGUAGAACCAAGUAUAGUUCCAAUCUUUUGGAUGACUAGGAAGUGUGGCUGCAGGGAAAACAACGUCUCUAUUCCUCUGAAUGGAGAUCCCAUCAAGCUCGAGACUAGGUCCGUCUGUCAUCUCAGUUUGGCGGUUGAGGUAAAAGUACUCUCUGAAUAGAUCAACUUCAGGCUCCAUUUGAAGAUACACUUCGCAGAAGACUUGGAAGUUGCAGAUGUUGGAUACGGAAUCAGGGACAAUGUCUUGAGGAUGAAGUUUAUAAAAAUGCAGAACAUCCCGGAAGAACUUUAACCCAAGUGGUGAGAAGCCACAAAGGAAGUGAUCUGAAAAGAUAAUAACUUCCCCUUCUUUAGGUUGAGGUUUAAUCUCAGCGCUGGAGCUCGCCAGUGGAUGACAUCUUUUGCUGCUAAGACUCCCAUGUCAACAUGCUCCUUGAGAGAUAGCUCAGAGACUCUAGAAGCGACCCAAUCGCAAGAAGUGGGAGUUUUAGUCAUUGCUGGCGGGUUAAAAGCUGCAAUCAAGGAAUAAAAAGGUGUGGUGGGUUAAAAUUACAACGAUAAAUUUCCCUAAAGGUUGCAAUGAUGUUUUAGCAGUAGUGAGCCAGUUUUGAUUAUAAGGUUAAUCAUUAUGAUGAAUCAUGGAAAAGUUAUAAGCCGCCCAGACAAGCCGGCAAGAUUCCGGUGGGUCACAAGUUUAUUGAUAAUCCGGCCUAGUACUGAAGGGUUACAAAUUCAUGGUUAAAGUUAGUCGUAUGUUGGCAGAUUAUGAAGUUACCAUUGUAAGCCGGCCAAGUGCUGGCGGGUCAAUUGUCUACGAAUUCAAGGUUGUUGAAAUUUUGCUAAGUGUUGGACAAACAAGUUUUGUAGAUUGCAGCUACAAUUACAGAUCUACAACAGUUCAGAAAAGAGGAAAAAUUUAAACCUAGAACAUGGCUACGGAAGAACUAGUAGGUUGGGGAUUGAUUCUCAGGGAGAAAGGAUAUAUCUAAGGAUUGAGACAAACACUGAAACUGCUACCGCACGACUUCAGUCUUGUUUUGGAUUGAACUAAGCGUCAGAUGGAUGAACUACGAUGAACUUGGACGAACACGACGAACACCGAUGAACUAGGGUGACCUAAAGCAUAUCUGAAGUGAAAGAAGAUGAAUACCUGGCGAUGCUAAUGAAUAGCGGGAAUGCAUCGCAAUUCUUUGGUCCAAUCAGGUUGAUGCAGCAGCCCUGUCGAAGUUGUCGGUGAAGAACGGCGGCGGUGGAGACCGUUGUCGUGGUGACGGCGCAAGGAAGACGAAGAAGAGAGGGAGAUGGGGGUAAAAGUGAAAAAGGGGGACCCCCAUCCCUAUUUAUAAAGGAAAAGUGAAAUACUAAAAUGGCAGGCGCGGAAAUCGAGGAGGCGUCAUGAUUAUCCUAACAAUGGAGGCGCCUCGAUUCUCAGAUGGUUAAUUAAUGCGGAAAGAUCCGUUGUGAUGGCAUAGGUCUGUUCUGAAUUUAUUUUACGUGACGUCAUGGCGGGUUACAGUGAUCUGUUUAAAAUUAAAUAUUGGUAAGAAUCAAAGAAGACUCGCUAACGGGAAGCAGUGAAGAUUGACAUGAACAGGUUCAAAUCAAUCUGGGGCCUAAUGUUGGAGAUAUAACCCCGCGGUGUGACCCGCCCAGGAGGGACCGGGUUAUACUAUUGGCGGUUCAGCGGUAACGUCCGAAGAAGGCCCAAGAGGCCCGAUGAAGGACCUAGAGGCCGACUUCGUGAUGAGCCGCCAGAAGGCUCAAGUCCAGAUAAGGGUGUGAGACCCGACACUUGUAAGUCGCCCAAUGAUGACUUGUUUAGAAAGGCAAGGUGAUUUAGAACCCUGGUCGGUCACGUUGUGUGAUCCGGCUGGGACUCUUGUAAGCCCAGGGCCUCGACCUGUGUAUAUAAGGGCGAGACCCUGCGGCGGGUUAGAUUAAGAAACAAUUGAUCAAGAGCUAGGUCAGGCGAUUUCGCUCCCUUGUAAUUGAUACUCAAGAAAUACAACUUGAAGCAGGACGUAGCCUUUUACCUCGUUGUGAGGGGCCGAACCUGGGUAAACUUGUGUCUCUUGUCUCGUUCAACCCCUUUAAGCUAACCAACGUUGUAAUGGCCCCACACUUCUUUUCACAAGGACAUCUGUCAUGACAAAACCACGACAAUGUGGCAAUCGGAAACUUUAUGGCAGCUGAUGACAUGUUGUGUUGUUCUGCACAAUAUGAUUGUCGAGAAUGAGGGUGAUGGUGUAGUCCAAACCCAUGAUUUUCAAGCACCCAAAGAACAAGUUAAAAUCCUGGAAAAUCAAGAUGUGGCACAUCUUAUGAACUUUCUGCAGAUGCAUCAGAAUCUUCGAGAUCGGUAGGUGCACACGUACCUACUCAAUGAUCUUGUGGAGCACAUGUGGAUCCACAAUGGCAACCUAAGGAGGCAAUGCUUGAGUUUGGCACUUCAAAUAAAUUUUAUGCAAACGUUGUGUAUGCUUUUUUUGCGGGAGAACGCUAUGUAUGCUUGAUACCUGCUAUUUACGUGUGACAUUGUGUUGCACGAUCGACAUGCAUGUAUUUGCAUGGAUUUGAGAGUCCGGAUUUAAAAUAUAUAAAUACAUGGAAGGAAAUAUGCGGGCUCAUCCGGAUAUGGCCGGACGCGUCCGCGGGCGUCCGAGCGGCCGGAUUUGUCAAGUCCGGCUAUAGAUGUCUAAGAAAUUUAUAUCAACCACAACAACUCUUAUGUUAUGCACCCUUAUUUUGGCAUUAUGAGACCAGAGGCCAAGUAUCCAUUUAGACGCGUCCAUAGUUUUCGCGCAAGUCAUCAAUCAACGCUAAGGGCAUGUACAAUGGUGCUAUCUUAAAAGUGCCACAUAGGAUUAAGGAUGAGGUGGAGGAGAAAAAACUCACAAGAAAAGGCUUGUCUUCUCUUAUUUAAGAUAAGACAAGAGAUAAUCUCUUAGCACAAUUUGUCUCACCAUGUUUUAAGAAAUGACUAGCUAUUGAAGAUAAGGCUAAGAUAUAACCCAUUGUAGACAUACUUUUUUGUCAUCUUUAAAUUACAUGCAAGACCUAAGAUAAGACUGUCUUAUCAACCAUUGUACAUGUCCUAAUGGUAUUCUUCAUCUCUUGGUUAUUCUUAGACCAUAGUUGCCAUGUAUGGUUAACCACAGUUGUCAUGUGUGUUUAUCUGGUUGCCACAUAUGCGCAACUGCAGGUGCCGUCUAGCAACGAAUCAUAAUUGUCAUGUGUGUUUACCUAGUUGCCACGUACGCGUAACUGCAGUUGCCAUCAAACAACGUACGAGUGUCGUAUGGGCAAAAAGCAGUACGCCCACACGCGUGUGGGCUAGGUGAUGGCUGUGUGGGCAGAAACUAGUUCGCCCAUACAGCGUAGCUGACAAACCGCGUGCGCGGGGCGUGUGGGCAAACUCUUCAACGCCUACACACCAGCCCCGUCCUACAUGGCAUGCAAAUUCUGUCUCACUGUGUCAAGAUUUGUGCAAACUCGACUAAACGGUGAUCCACGCGUGUGGGCGUGUUGCAAAACUGCCACACGCAUGGGCGUUAGUAUUUGGGUUUUAAUGGGGUCCGCGUUCGUAUUUUCAUUGAUCCUUCUUGCUCGUUCAUAUAACCAAACGAUGGUGCAUCGUUCUCCAUAGGGAUUAAGAGGACACACCCCUCACCCUCUUCCUAUUUAUCGUUCAGGAGACUUAUUGAUUUUAACUCGCAUUGUUAUUUAAAUUGGUAGGUUUAGGUAUAAGGAAGCGAGAUGGAACUAGAUGUGUCCUGACUAUUACAUAUAUAAAUCAUAUGUCAUUGGUAUUUUGUUGUUCUUUUUCUUAUAUUUAAUUGAGUCACUUAGAUGUGCCAUAACUAGGGCACAUCCCUAGACACACCCUUACAUAGAUGACUAGGGCACAUCUACAUGUGCAAUAACUUUCACAUGUUAUUGAUUUUGUAGAUAAGGUAACAAGGUUCUUUCUAUGUGAAAGUAGCAUUUUAUCUUAUCUACAAAAUCAAGGGCUAGCUCAGUUGGAAUGCACCUAAAAGAAAAGUAACAUGGCAGCAUGUCGCACGCUUCAUUUGUACUAGUUUGUUGGGUACCUAAAAGGAAUCUAGUUGGGCCGGACGAGGUGGUCAGUGUGGCUGUGGGGUCUUUUUUCACGGAAAACCCUAUUUGCCGCUCUCUGCAGCAAACAGUCGGGGCUCCGCACAGCGGCUAUCGAGCACGCACCUGGGCUGGCCUGUUAAGCGUUCCAAAUACACCGGUUUUGGGAACCUUCUGUGACUGUUUCUAGCCAGGUUUUUUUCCGGUUUUGGGAACCUUCUAGAAGGUUUCUGAACCGGUUUUUUCUUUUCAUAUUUAUUUUCGUUUUUAUUUUUUAUUUUUCUUUCCUUUUUCGUUCUUUCUAUUUCUUUUUUCUGUCUUCUUUUCUUUCUUCUUGCUCUUUUUCUUUUAUCUUUUAACUUAUUUUUUCAGAAAAUUUUCUAAAAAGAAAAUUCUUUAUUUCUUUUUCAAAAUUGUUGUCGUUACACAAAAAAGUUCAAAACUUUGAAAAUUCAGAAAAUGUAUCAGAUUUCAAUUUUCAGUUCACAUAUUCAGAAAAUGUUCGCCCUUCCAAAUUUGUUCGGGAUUUUUCAAAAUUGUUCUCCGUUUCAAAAAAUAUUCUCAAGAUUCAAAAAAUGUUUGUUCUUUAAAAAAUUGUUCAUGCUUUCAAAUUUGUUCAGGAUUUUUUUAAAUUGUUCUAUGUUUCAAAAUUUGUUCUCAAGAUUCAAAAAAUAGUUUGCGCUUCCAAAUUUGUUCUCAAGAUUCAAAAAUUGUUCGUGCUUUAAAAACAUGUUCACAAAUUCCAAAAAUGUUCAUGUUUUGAAAAAUGUUUGUGUAAUUCAAAAUUUGUUAGUUUUCAUAAAAUUUGUUCACAUAUUCCAAAAAUGUUCAUGUUUGAAAAUGUAUUCACAAAUUCAAAAAUUGUCUGCAUGUUCAUGUUUGGGAACCUUCCAGAAGGUUCUUGAACCGGUUUUUCUGGUUUUCUUUUUUGUUUCUUAUUCUUUUUUCGGUUUUAGUUAUUUCUGUUUCUUUUUUUCUUUGGUUUUUUAUUUCUUUUGCUUUUCUUCUCUUUUUUCAAAAAAUCGAAAAUUUUAAGUUUUGUUCGUGUUUCCAAAAAAGUGCAGUUUUGAAAAAAUGUUCUCAAAAUACAAAAAAUGUUCUCAUUAGACAAAAAAGUUCAAAACUUUCGAAAAUCAGAAAAUGUACCUGAUUUUAAUUUUUUGUUCACAUAUUCAAAAAAUGUUCGCGCUUCCAAAUUUGUUCUCAAUAUUUAAAAAUGUUCGUGCUUUAAAAAAUUGUUCGCGCUUCCAAAUUUGUUUGGGAUUUUUCAAAAUUGUUCUCUAUUUCAAAUUUUGUUCUCAACAUUUCAAAAAAUGUUCGUGCUUCAAAAAAUUGCUCGCGCUUCCAAAUUUGUUCUCAAGAUUCAAAAAUUGUUCACAAAUUUGAAAACUGUACAUGUUUUCGAAUUUUGUUUGGGAAAUUCAAAAAAAAUAGUUUUCAUAAAUUUUGUUUGCAUUUUAAAAAAAUGUACGUUUAAAAAUUGUUCAAAAUUUGGGGGGAAAAUUGGGAUUUUUCCAAACAGUGUUAAAUCCGGAACUGUUCUUCAUUUCUUUUAUAGUUCCGCUGUACCCAGAUCGCUAGGUCUGUUCUAUCGCAGUGGCUAGCACCGUGGUUGCGCAAGCAAGCAGUCGCGUGUUCGAUUUCCAGCGACCACGCGUUACUGAGUGAAUGGNNNNNNNNNNNNNNNNNNNNNNNNNNNNNNNNNNNNNNNNNNNNNNNNNNNNNNNNNNNNNNNNNNNNNNNNNNNNNNNNNNNNNNNNNNNNNNNNNNNNNNNNNNNNNNNNNNNNNNNNNNNNNNNNNNNNNNNNNNNNNNNNNNNNNNNNNNNNNNNNNNNNNNNNNNNNNNNNNNNNNNNNNNNNNNNNNNNNNNNNNNNNNNNNNNNNNNNNNNNNNNNNNNNNNNNNNNNNNNNNNNNNNNNNNNNNNNNNNNNNNNNNNNNNNNNNNNNNNNNNNNNNNNNNNNNNNNNNNNNNNNNNNNNNNNNNNNNNNNNNNNNNNNNNNNNNNNNNNNNNNNNNNNNNNNNNNNNNNNNNNNNNNNNNNNNNNNNNNNNNNNNNNNNNNNNNNNNNNNNNNNNNNNNNNNNNNNNNNNNNNNNNNNNNNNNNNNNNNNNNNNNNNNNNNNNNNNNNNNNNNNNNNNNNCUUCAAGCACUACGGCGCCCCCCUAUGCGACGCAGCGUGUAUUUGCCGCAGAACGCGGCAAAUAGGAGGUCCCUUUUUUCGCUGCUAAUUUAUUUUUUCUGUCACAAUACAGGCUCGGCUAGUUCGGUCCUAUAAAAGACCAGGCAACCCGGCCAGUGCGCAUGCGAUCUGAUGGAUGGCACAUACAAAAAAAAGGACCGAAGCGAAGGGGUACAUGUCUUGUGGAUGACAAGGUGGGUAGUUUGGAUGAUAGACGAAAACUCCGAAGAAAUUCAUAACGGACCUUCAAGCACUAUUACAUACUCCCUUCGCCUCUAAAUAAGUGACUUAACUUUGUACUAGCUUUAGUAUAAAGUUAGUACAAGGUCGAGUCAUUUAUUUUGGGACGGAGGGAGUAUUAGUGAUCUUGGAUGCAUGUUUGCCAUGGUUUACUUAUGUGUGUGUGAUUGGGAGUAAUGCUUCUCAGAAAAUAAAACUAUGGUUUCACCAGUUGGUUUGCUUAUUAUUUUUUAUUUGUCGAGACGUGUAUUGCACGUGCAACCUUAUUAGUUAUUAAAAAGGUAAAAAAGACUAGCAAACGUGUCUGUGCACUGCACCAGGAGAAAAGUAGUGGAGCGGGAUAUCUACCAACCGUUCGCUAGGGGAGCGAAUCCGAUCGAACGAAUUGUUCGAUGCACGAGGGAGAUCUAGCGAAAAAUUUAGUUGCUAUGACAGCCCCCUUGCACGAACCACAGAAGUACAAGGUUUUACUAGGCCUCUAGCCCGAUCUUUAUUCUCUUAGAAAAAAAUUGCCAUGCUGCGGGUCAAAAACUAAACAAUAUUACAAAAAUUGACGGGAAGAAGAGGGAAACACACAACAAUGCAAACAAGUAAAUUGACAAACUUGUUGGUAAACUAGUAAGCAUGCACGUGCAACGCACGUCUCAAACAAAACAAGUUAACAUGGUAUCAGAUCGCUACAAAAUGUUAUCAUGUCACUCAAAUUGUAUUUUCAAAAAGUGUGACAUAUUUCUGAUCCAACACAUGUAUCAUAGUCUAUAGUAAAAACAUCUAUUCUGGAUCUAAUUUUAUUUAGUGAGUUCUUUUACCAAGCCAUUUAAGUGUGUCUUAUGCACAACCAUAUGAGCGCGUGUGUAACACACGAUCCGGAAACAUGUCUCCGCCUAAAAUUCAAUAUCACAUAAUAAAUGUAUUAUAAUUGUUAUAAAAAUAUAUUUUAAAACCCGCAACUAAGCAUGUCUUGAAGGUACAUCUUUUGAAGCAAUGAAGGUCCAUCUAUGGAUGCGAUCAAUGAUGCUUCGUUCAAUGUAUGGGAUGUUGUUUUGAGCUUCAUUCUCUUCGUACUUCAAAACAUGCACCAAAAAUUGCUUCCUCAGCUGAAACCCAUUCUACAUAUGCAUUAUACAACAUUGUUAUAACAAGUUGCAUGCGCAAUGUGUAUAGAAAUAAGCAUGGUGUAAACACUCACCUUGGGUAUGGGAAAAUAUAGUUUUCCAUCGCACAAUGAGUGCAUGUAAUUAAAAACCAAAUAACCGGACAGGGCACUGCAUGUAUGAAAUAAACACAUAAUGUGUGUUGAAUGAAUCAAUUAAUAUUGUAAUGCGUUUAAAAGAUUCAUACCAGUGUGAGUUUGUUGGAGCAACAGGAACUAAGGAUUCCCAUUUAGAGAUAUCAUCCUUGAAUGCAUGGUUUGCAACUUCAAGCGCAAGGUUUAGGUUGUCGGCCACAAUUUGAAGUACGUUAUUCCCCAAAGUAGAUAUUGGUAACGGAUCAAAAAUUGAGACAACCUUUUUAUUUUGAUCCAACACAAACAAUAGAAAUAGCCCAAACAUACACCAAGGCAAUAAAAUCUGCAAUGAUGAAAUAGUUUAGAAAUACAUGUGAUAUUAACUAAGACCAAAUAAAGCACUGUUAAAGAUGAAAAAUUUAAAUCUUACCUCAUCACAUUGUGAGAUAUGGUAAUCAUUACUGUCAGGCCAGCUAUGAAACAACCGUCUCAAUGUAGCAAUUUCCAUAUUUUCACGAUGACUUCGUGCAUAGUGGAACAUCGACUAAAAUAAGAAUUAGAAAAUAUUAGUGCAAUGAGAAAAAAAUGUAAUACAUGAUUAUAGUAACUUACACAAAAGUUCAGACCCAUAUAGUGAGAUGGAAUGUCUCUGAGAAGCUGGACUUCAUGGCGCGCUAAUAUCCGCACAGCCAUAUUAAAGCAAUGGAUAUCCAUGUAUUCAUCAUUGUUCAAUAUGUUUUUUAUUUGUCUCAAAUUUAAGCUAAUAGGGUACGGAUCAGAGCUUUUCACCCAUUCGCUCCUGUAAAAUCGAAAUUCUGUCAUUAUACUGACAUCAAAGUAAUUUAUUGGAAUACAAAAUGAACUAAAAAAUAUGGCUUACUCUAGUAGAGCGAGAUCAUCAACCAUACCGAUGAACAAGCAAAGUUCAUCUAUUAAAUCAUCAUUUGUUGGAUUGACAGACGGUGAAAGGAUAAAUGACCGCGAGAUGAGCUUGACUUCUCCUGAUGUAUUUGAUGUUUUGAAAUUCUUAGGAGGUCUAUCCAGAAUCAUACAUUCCGUGGGAUCUAUGUUGUUUUCGUCAUCUUCAAUGUCUCGAUUUCUUAUAUUAUCAUCAUUCAAUUCCGAGUCCACUAAAAUGACAGCUAGUUUUGUUCUAAAAUCUGUCAUAUGUUUCUAUUAAAGUAGUAAUAAGAGUUAAAUAGUGAUAUAACAUAGAAUAAGUAUAAUGAUACACAGUGAAAUGUACCUGUGUAGGAAUAUCAGACAAAAUUACUCCUGUGAAGUACUCCAUAAAAUUUAUCAUCCACAGACCACAAGAUGACCUACAUGAUUACAAAACUUAAAUAUACUCAAUAAAUCGUUAUCAUUUUUAUAGGGACUCAUAUUAUUUUUUGAAAUCAUCCAAUGAUCAUGACCGUAACAAGCAGCGAUGAAAACAAAAAUCUCACCCAUGCAGCAUGUGAACCGGACAUGCCCUUUGAAAUUUAAAGAUAUUUUUAUUUUGUUUGAAAAAAAUGCCACACUAACUUACAAUGGGUCACAGGCUUAUAUAUUAGUAGUACUCUCUAUGUUCCAAAAUAUAGGUCGCUGGACGAUUCCUAGUACACAUUUUGUCACGUUACGCAUUUUAUCAGCGUUCCGAAAUUGCCCCCGCGCUCACGCAGACCAGUCACUCCCCAGUCCCCACUCGCUCUUGUUCCCCACCGCUCCACUACCCACCGCCCUCUCCCCGUCGCCGCUGUGUCGCUCCGUCGUCACCGCCCUGUCUCCGUCGCCGUCGUGUCACUCCGUCGUGUUUUUUACCAGUAUUUUUUUCAACUUUUUUAGAUAUUAUUUAUACAGGAAACCUAUUAAAACAUCAAAUGAUUAUGACUAUAAAAAUAAUGGAUUUUUAUUAUUAUAAUGUGAGGUGAAUCGGACACGACCGAUAAAAAUAAGACAACUUCUUUUUUGGUUCGGACAAGGCCGUGAUCAAUCACAAUCUCUCCCGUCACUUCCUAGUACAGUACUCUACAUAGUAGUAUUAAGAAAAAAAACGUCAGAUUUCUAAAAAAACGUCAGUCAUCAUCUCCACUGUCGCCUCAGAUUCUUCUCUGGAUAGUUCCCCACCACUCCCUCACAAUCUCCUCCAUUCCCCAUUCUCUCCACCAUAGCCAGCGCUCCCUGGUCAGGCCGCCCCCUCCCCUUCGUCACCACCGCCGGCGCUCCCUGGUCAGGCUGCCCUCCCCUUCGUCACCAGCGUGGCCGCUCUCUCACACCCCAUAGGUCAAAGGUUGAAUUUUUAUCCGCCGCUGAUGGUGCUGCUGGGCGAGGAGGCGCUGGAUGCGCGUGCGCCGGCGCUGGAUCCGCGUGCGCCAGCGCUGGAUCUGCUCCGUCUGGCUCCGGCGACCUUACCCCGUGGCUCCGGGACAGGAAGGCUACCCCGACGACAUACAGGUCCGCCCCCUUCUCCUCUCCUCUUGGAUUUCUUCUUCUUCCCUUCCCUGAGAUGAGAUGUACGUUCCUGCCUCACGCACGCAGCAACUGGACUCUAUGCACAGAGAGGAGGAUGAAGACACCCAGCCAUGGAUUUUUAGCAGCACUCACUCAAGGAAAAAGUGCGCCACCUCCCGCCUCCCCUCUCUAUUUGAUUCAAUUCUACAGCUGUGUAUGCAGGUUCCUCACACCUUGUUGCUCUGUUGGUGUUCGUGCUGGGCUGCAGGAGACCUCAACAAGCCAAUGGAUGCAGCCAGCCUCCAACUCACCACGCACCUGCACCAACUUGAUGUAGGGAGAGGAGGAGUGAGGCUUCUCUCACGGGAUGACGCCCAGCCAUGGGGCAGCAGCAAUCCAAGGUCAAGCCUCCCUCUACCUCUCUCUCGUUUUGAUUUCAUAGGUCUGGUUCCCUGAUUUUUCUGCUGCUCUAGAUUCACUUGCAUGCUUGACUGAAUCUAGUUGCUCUCAGGCCCUAGUGUUCAAUGAGAUAGGCAUUGCAUUGUUUACUAAUUUAAUUUGCUUGCCUGCAGCCACAUGGUCCAGAGAUAGAAUUGAGAUAUUCAGACUAAGUUUAAUGAUUUGAUGGUUAUAAUUACUGAAUUUCGCUUGGUGCUAUCACUGUCGGCCUCUAGUGCUGAAUCAGUUGUACACUGUACUGUUUACCAAUUUAAUUAGCUUGCUUACCGCCACAUGGUCCAGAGAUAGAAAUUCAGAUAUUGAGACUAAAGUUUAAUGAUGUGCUGGUCAUAAUUGGUUCAGUGACUAAAUCUGUCCCCAAACUGUCAAAAUUGUAUGUCAAAGCUAAAAAACUAUCAAAACUUUGCUUUCAAGAUGAGCCCAAAUUCAGUAAGAUGUGUGCGCAGCUUGCUUUCAAGAAUGUUAAACUACUCCAUGCUUAUUUAAACUAAUUCCUCCUACAGAUUGCUGUCAAAAUAAGCCUAAAUUCAGAGUCUUCGGAAGUCAAUUACUUUGAGCCUUUGAGUUAGGAGGUAUACCAGUCUCUUUGUAGUUUGCUCUUAAUACACUCUUCCCUUGGCCAUGAUGAGAUGUUUAAGUCUUUCCACUUAUCAGUUUUUAGUUCCACUUGAAGCGAUGCAUAUUCGAAUACAUUUUCUAGUCCUUUGAGCUGUUGAAUGAAUAAAUGAAAAAGUAUUAGCAUCACAACUGAACAAUAACAGAAAUCAUGUUAUCAAAAGAUGGUGUAGUGGGACUAAUGACUAACCAUAGCGGUGAGGUCUUUGCGGCUCAUUCCUGGGCCUAGCGAGUCGAGCACCUGGAUGCAUCGCUGCCCGGCAUUUAUAACUGCUAGGUACCAAUGGAAGUGUUCAAUGUUAACUGGAAUGUAUAUCUGAAAAUAGGGUUUUUGUUAGUUUAGGUCCCAUCUAUACAAACAUUUAUAUUGAACUAAGACUCACCAUAUCAUGUUCCAAAUAAGUUAUAGCUCUGUUUAAUACCCAUCUUGGUGCGUCAUCUCGUAUAGAACUAAAUUCCUUUAUCAUCUUAGAGAUGCAUGCACUCUCUAAGAACACACUUCCACCUGACCUCAUCUGUAGAUGCUCUUUAGCACUUAUGCAAUGUAUGUAUGCGUCUAUGAUCUGCAAUAUGAAGUUCACACCUUAGUGAGAGGAGAGAAUAGAAACUCAUGUUAAAAUAGCAUAGUCUUGUCUGAAAGCUACAUAUACUUACUUCGUCGCCAAGAAAUUCUUCGGGGAGUAAUAGAUGUUCUAAGUGUCAUCUUUUGAGAUGUGAGUCGUCGAUGCUCACUAAAUUUCUUUUAUUGUUUGGUUCAGACAUGAUAUUUUCAAUCACGGACCAAUCAUCGCCGGUGCAGACGUAAUCUAUCAUGAUGUAAGUAACAACAUUUAUUAAAAACAAAGAAAAUAAAUGUAGCAAAAGCAGGGCAUAGAAAUUAAAUGUAGCAAAAAUAGGCAUAAUCUAUCAUGAUGUAAGUAACAAAAUUUAUUAAUGAUGACCACAAAAAUAAAUUUAGCAAAAGCAGGGCAUAGAAGGAUUUGUCCGUGCCUUCUGGAGCGACCACGUAGUCUUGUGCCUUCUUAGGUUUGUUAUGCAGUCGGAUAGGCUUCCCUGUCUGCACAGGCAUUGCCAGCUUGUGUACUAUAAUUUCUGCCCUUUCCCUGCCGGACGUUUGUUCUAAUUCUUCGUCCUUAGGGGCCUCCAUUUGUUCACUUGUUUCGUUGUCGGUUAAUUCCUGGGAGCAACAUUACAAAGAAUGAUCCGUAUGCAGGAUUAAUAAAGGAUUAAUAAUAUAAUUAAGAAUUAGAACUAUCUGGGACAUAUUUGGAGAAGAUGCCUGUGUCACUUCGGAGACUUCGGAAUCAGUGUCCUGCGUGCUCUUCUCAUUCUCCACUUCAUCUAUGUUGGCUAUUCCAUUUGAUUCUGCCAGCUUGCCCCCUAUAGUUUCUGCCCCUUCGGUGCCGAAUGUUUGUGCUAAUUUGUCUUCAUGAGCUGGCUGCAUUUGUUUACUUGUUUCGUUUAAGGUUAAUUCCUGAGAGCAACAUUACAAACAAUAAUCCAUAUGCAGGAUAUAAUUAGAAUUAUAACUAUUUGGGACAUAGUUGGAAAAUAAAAGACGCCUCUGUCACCUCGAAAUCAGUGGAUUGUGUGCUUUUCUUUUUCUCCACUCCAUAUUUGUCGGCUAUUCCAGUUGAAUCUGUCAGCUUGUCCCCUAUAGUUUCUGUCCCCUUGGUGCCGAAUGUUUGUGCUAAUUCCUCGUCCUGAUCUGGCUGCAUUUCUUCACUUGUUUUGUUGAAGGUUAAUUCCUGUAUGCAACAUUACAAAGAAUAAUCCGUAUGCAGGAUAUUAUAUAAUUAUAGUUAGAAUAAUCCUGGCUAUCAUGAUGUAAAGAAUUGUAUGUAUGAUAAUCUAGUACAAAAUACAUAUUAUUCCUGUAUGCUUGUCUUAGGGUAGCACCUGAUCAAUCUGCAUAUUUUCCGUAUCAUCCAUGAUUUCUUGAUCUUGUGAUGCCUUUGUUGACUCGUGGUUCAUAUCCUCGUCCUUGGGUCCCUUUUUGGUGUUUUCCUGAAAACCCAAGCAUUUAUUAUUAGCACGCAGUUAACAUUACUCUCAUUCUUAUUUCUACAUCACACCUGGAUGCACAUAUCUGCAUAUGUUCUUAACAUAGUGGUAUGAGGACAUUCUUUCCAAUUAAAUUUCAAUAAUACAAUAUUAUCCAGUAUUUAUAAAAGAGAAGAUAUUAUUCAAGUGAGUAAAGAAUUGUAUGUAUGAUAAUCUAGUACAAAAUACAUAUUAUUUCGUCCUGCCAGAAUAAGAAUAAUAAUGACAUGUGAAAAUAAAAAGCGCCUUUGUUGCAUUGGGGUUUGUAUGCUUGUCUUAGGGUAGCACCUGAUCAAUGUGCAUAUUUUCUGUAUCAUCCAUGAUUUCUUGAUCUUGUGAUGCCUUUGUUGACUCGUGGUUCAUAUCCUCGUCCUUGGGACCCUUGUUUGUGUUUUCCUGAAAACCCAAGCAUUUAUUAUUAGCACGCAGUUAACAUUAGUCUCAUUCUUAUUUCUACAUCAAAUCUGGAUGCACAUAUCUACAUAUGUUCUUAACAUAGUGGUAUGAGGACAUUCUUUCCAAUUAACUUUCAAUAUGUAUUUGUUUGUUUUAUUAUCCAGUCAACUUUUUGAGAGUCACUUCGGUGACUAUUCUCUCAAGUAAUCAGGUGGAUGCAGUAAUAUGAAUUUCCUUAGGCACACAGAGCAUCUUGGUAAUUUUGCGGGGGCAAACAAAGCAUGUUGAUUCACUUUGUUGGAUCCCCUCUAGUGACCAUAUUGCCUUCUAGAUGUGAAAUCGUGAAUAUUGUGUAAUCACAGAGAGAUAUCAUUACCACGAUGAUGGCAGAUUGAUCCGCAGAGCUCACCAGGGAUUGUGACGCAGACAUGGAGGAAGAUGGUAGUUCACCACGGAGAGAUGUGUACGGCAGGCUGGAGAGACCUGCGGUGGAGGAGGCCGGCGCGGUGGAGGGGUGUGAGGAUGCGGCUUGGGAGAGAGGAUGGAGAGGUGGAAGAAAACCCUACGGUGCAAAACUUGUUGGUUCUUUGUGCUCCUGAUCGAGAGAUCGUUAGUUGUAGGCAAUAUGUAAGGCGGAAAUCACAGCAAGGAUUUCCAUAGCGUGAGGAGGAAAGGAAUCGUGGUCGUUAUCUCAGGGCCGACACCUUUCCUUUGAUUUAUCUCAGGCCCUUUUUUUUGCUUUUUUAUACCCGACACAUAUACAGAAUUAAUGUAAUCAUUUUUCAAUAUUUCUUGCACGCUAGUAAUAUAGCCUGGUCUGGAAAAACUUCAUACAUAAUUUCUUAUAUGAAAGAAACCAUCAUCCAUAUACCACACCUGGGUUAACUGAACUACCUCGGUGGUAUUUGCAGGGCUGACCUGCAUGAGUACUCAUUGAGGAGCAAGAGUAUCUCAGGCCCCACGCUUUCCUCGUUUAUCUCAGGCCCAAUGUUUUUUUUUGUUUUUUUAUACCCCACACAUACAGAAUUAAAGGAGUUAUUUUCGUAAUACAUUUUUAUACAGAAUUAUUGGGUUCAGCUCAUCGGAAUGUUUCAUCGAUACUUUUGUGUGCUUUCUCUUACCUUUUUUUAUAUACAUAAAGUUUACCUCUCUGUGUAGAAAAAUAAUUCUUGUAUCAUUUGUCUUGCCAGCUAGUUAACGUUUGUCUUGCCAGCUAGUUAAUGUACCCUCAGCGGCCGUGCUUGAUAGGAGGGGCCAGGGAAGUGCUUUAAGUCGUUCCAAGAAUGUGAGACAGUGUCAAGUCUGUAAGGCAAGUCAAGGCGCUCCUGUUGGUAAAGAUUGCUUUGCUUGGAACGAUCUUGUACCUAUUCUAUUGUCUGUUUUUUCGACUCGGUGUUUAGUAAUGCGUGGUUAUCCUGUUGUCAAUUUGCAGCGGCAAGAUCCUUCAGCGGUGCAGGAGAUUAAGGGUUCCAUAAUCGAUUCCGCGCCUAUUGCUGUCCCCAAUUUUCAGGUAAGCACUGAAGCGAACCUAAAGCCAUCUAAUAUUCUAUUGUCUUUCUGAAAAAAGAUAGCAUGUGAGCUCAUGUACCACAGAUUCGGGAACGACGUAUGUUCAUACAGUAGUAAUAAUGCCUCUCAACUUCACUACAUUCUGCAAAUCUCAUAGACUCUUGCAGUUUUCAUCACAAAUAUAUGACAUAGCUAACAUAAGUUAAGUUACUCAACAGCCGUUGAAGAUCUUCAAAAAAACUUUACAUAAAAGAAAAUUAAAGGGGUUCAAAGACUGCAGGACACUUUGGCGUUCGAGAACAUCUUCAACAGAACAGAACGCUACAGUAUAUUUAGAUAGCACAUAAUACAACAUAGACUGUUCCCUAAUAUGGCUAAUCUGGCGCCUGGUUUAUUGUAUCAUUCAUCUCCACCGCAAAGUAAAGGAAGCUUCACACUCUGUCCCUAACAAGACCUGAAAAUAAAAGGAAAGAAAAGUGUUAGGUCGAGAAUUAGUUAUAUAGACACAAACGCAAAGGUGCAAAGAAUACACGAAAGAUCGUACCUGCCUCACCCCUCUAAAACAUCUUUAUAGACAAUGUUUUUGGUGCUCUUCCCAGAUUUAUCAACCUCCUUGUUAGGCUUGGCUAAAAUUCGUGUCGUCUUUCUUGACACAUCCCUUGACAAUGCAACAUAUAGCUGGCCAUGUGAGAAAACAGGUUCGGGAAGGUAAAUACCGACAUUCGGGAUGGUUUGACCCUGUGCCUUGUUAAUGGCCAUCGCAAAACUCAGGCGGAUGGGGAAUUGUUUUCUUUAAGCUUGAAGGGAAGUGAGGUGUCCUCCGAUGGCGACAUAGGGAUCCUAGGUAUGAACACCCUCUUUCCAGCAUGCUGGCCACCAACAAUCUCCGCAUCGAUUGCAUUAUCCUGGAAGGCUCUGAUCAUAAGUCGUGUUCCAUUACACAAGCCAUUAUGAGGGUCGAGGUUCCGUAGCAAAAUGACCGGGCAGUUGAUUUUUACUCUCAAGACAUGGGGGGCAAGCCAUUUGGUGUGAUGGAGUUCAGAAAAUCAAUCAUGUAAUUAUUCUGGAAGUCAUCCUCGAUAGAGUCAAAGCUAUGGUAUACCUUUUCUUCUCCCGGAAACCUAGAGAUCAUCUUGUCAUUCAGGUCAUCCACAUGCUCGUUUUUGGUCGAGAGAAUUGCACGUUUGCUCAUGUACUCCCUCGACCUAGCAUUGGUGUGCAGGGAUGGGAAGACAUCUUCGAUGAGCUUGUUAAUAGGUUCUUCGUCCUCAGUAUAACCAAUCACAAUGUCUUCAGGCAGACGCACAUAGUCGUCACCAAUAGUUUCUUCCGUUCCAUUGCCAAUCCUUAGGAGGUAUUAGGAGAACCAAGGGUCGGCCUGUGCCCGCAUAUUGCGCGUGAGGCGUAUCUUGCGGAUCUUAUCCCACAGAUAGGAUCUCAACAGUGUAGCAUCCGUGAUCUGUGCUCUUGUCCCUCGUGUAACAACAGGGAGGACCUGCCUGAAAUCCCCACCAAAGACAACAACCUUUCCACCAAAUGGCAGAGGACAUUCCAUAAUAUCUUGUAGCGAUCUGUCGAGCGUCUCAACUGCUUGACGCUUUGUCAUAGCAACUUCAUCCCAAAUAAUCAAGGACGCCUGUUUAAGCAACUCUGCCGUACCACUCUGCUUUGUGAAACCACACAUGCUGUUGUCAGUGAGCUUGAUUGGAAUUUUGAACCUGGAGUAGGCAGUCCGGCCUCCAGGCAUUAUUGACGCCGCUAUACCUGAUGUAGCAGUUGCGAUCGCUAUAAGGCCCAUCGAACGGACCUUCGCAAGCAAUGCCUUGUACAGGUACGUCUUCCCAGUGCCUCCUGGACCAUCAACAAAAAAUAUCUGGCUUUUUUGGUUCGUCACAUGAUCCAUUAUGUCGUUGAAACCAUCCAGUUGUUCACUGUUCAAACAGCUAAAUAGAUCUAGAUGCUCUUGGUCAACUCUAACUUGUCUCUCCUCUGUUACCUCUCUAUACUCGGCGUUAGAAGAACCAUUUGUGUCAACCAGAUCUGGAAGUCCAUACAUUUUAAUAUCCUUACCCAUGGAUUGCACCAGAUCCCUGACAUCUCUAAGGACCAUCUGCUCAAGUGUUGCCUCGUUCGACUCAGUGCGGCGGUAAUCUUCAGCCAUCGAUGGUAGAUGUUUGUCCCACAAUUGACGGAUUUGUGUUACCUCACAGAAUACUAGUAUAGUCGCAAACAAUCGUCUAAGAGCAGAAGGCAUUUGAAAUGUUGCUGCCUCCGUCAUGCAAUCAUCCAGUGUCCUGUCAUGCUCAAUGAGGCCUAAGUGCUCACAUGCCUCUCUGAAGGAAGUGCAUGGCUUGCCAUUUACUGUUUUUAAAUCAUCAAAUGAAGUGGCACCUCGAACAUGACUUAGGAGCACCCGCAAGUAGUACCUCUCUCCUUCAGCAGGGUGUGCAUACACCAGUCUUCCAAUCUGUGAUCUCUUACUUCUUCUCGUUUGCCACUUUUUAUUAGCGGCAAUCCACCUAUAAUGUUCUGGGAACUCUUUGUACAACCAUUUUCGUGCCGCUGGAUACUUCUUGUUCAUCUCAAAGUACUCGGUAAGCAUGGAUUUGGAAGAAGUUGGGCGAGCGACAACAUCUUCCAGAUUUUCAUAACCCUUAAAUGCGACUGUGUGCAUGUUUGGCAAAUGAAGUUGCAGCUGUAACACAGAUGGACUAACACCAAACAUUUUAAACCCAAAAAUCCUGUAAAUAGCUUCUGGAGGAGAUAUAUAGCGUGCAUCCCUGUAUUGACGAAUUUCAUUAAUGAUUCCCCCAUCAUUGAUAAUAUCCUGCUCGCAUGCAAAUGAUGCCUUAUCAUGCCCUUUGUAGAUGUACUUGAAUAAGUACUUGACUGCCUUGAUGCUCGAGCAUGCUUCGACAUUUAUGUGACAGUUGUAUUUCAUAAGCAGAAAGGGGUUGUAAGGGACCACCCAUCUAUUGUCCAAAUCUGCUCCUCUGAUCCUUACUCGAACCCCGUCGUCCCUCCUUCUAUAGAUGGGAUAUGAGUCUUUCCCUUGUAAUGUAGCAUCACAGAAAUCUCGCGGGUAAUGAAAUCGACACUGUCCAUCUAUCAUGCAAGGGCAACUUUUCUUGAGUGCACCACAUGGGCCGUGCAACAUGUGUUUGACUACCAGAUCAUGGAGGACAUGAUAUUUCUUUUUGUCGGGUAUCUCUGCAGAUAUCACCCGAUCAUAGUCAUCUGGGGCCCUUAACUUGCUUUUUGCUUUCAUGAUUAGAAGUAUAUGCUCAUGCGGGAGACCUCGCUUUUGAAACUCUGUGACAUGUACAUAAGCUGCGACUUCUCCGACAUGCUUACCCUUAGUUAGUAAGUCCAUCAUAUUUUGUUGCUUAGCUCUGUAUACUCUUGCCACAAGGUCUGGGCGGUCUUGUGGCAGCUGUCCAGGCAACAAUUCCUGCGUUAUCUCCUCCCAGUAGGGAUUGCAUGUCAUCGUGACAAAAUAAUCCAGUUUACCCCAACGUUGAACUAUUGCCAUCGCAUCUAGAAAUCUGCGCUGCAUGUCACGGUCACCACCAGGAAAUGUACGUGGAAGCACGAUUCUCUUGCCAAUCCGAUCACCACGUGACUCGCCAGCAACGACGGUGUCAACAAGACCCUAUAAUAAAACAAUAUUUCACUCCAAUUAGUAUAAAGGUUCAAGCAAAGAGUGAGGCAUCUAUAAUGUAAAUUUUGUGAUAAAUAGAAGCACGUUACCUGGUACAGGUCAGCGCGUAUAACCUUUUGAUUUGCUGGCUUUGAAUACCAGUCAAGCCUCAUUGUCUCAAUCUUGAUGUACAUGUCAACAGCCCACUGUUGAAAAAGACGCCCCCCGAACAAGAUGAUGUUAAAAAGCUUCUUCCGGACACACAACUUGAAGCAAUAGUACUCUCUCGCGCUAACAAAUUUCCUUGAUUUUGUUGGAUUCAUCUCAUCGUCACCAAAAUCCUCAUCCGGGUUAUCAUCGUCCUCACCUAAUAAUUGGUUAACAACAUAAAAAUUGUUAUGGUAGGUAGAACCAUAAGUAAGAAUAAUAAAAGUAGUAAUGACGACCUAUACCAUCAAGUAAAUCAGUGGGUGGGUCUUCAUGCUGUGCAUUAUGACCAACUGGUUCUAUAAUCAUGUUAUCAUCUGAAAGAUGGAUGACUAUAAGUUUUAAUUUAAAGAACAAUAAAAGUAGUAAUGACGACCUAUACCUUUGGGUAAAUCAGUGGGUUGGUCUUCAUGCUGUGUGUUAUGACCAACUUGUUCUCUAAGCAUGUUAUCAUCUGAAAGAUGGAUGACUGCAUAAGUUUUAAUUUAGAGAAUAUUAGAAGUAGUAAUGACGACCUAUACCUUGAGGUAAAUCAGUGGGUUGCUCUUCAUGUUGUGCUUUAUGACCAACUUGUUCUCCAAUCACGUUAUCAUCUGAAAGAUUGAUGACUACAUAAGUUUUAAUUUAAAUAAUAUGAUAUAUACCAAUUUUGGACAUCAUACCUGAAGGAAAACCAUAGGCUGGGUUCUGUGGUGCAAAUUCAUCCACUGAAACUUAGUUUGUGUCAUCGACUAACUCAAUAUAUGGCAUCCAACGAUUCCAACCGAUCUCCCCACGUGGGAAGAACAGUGGAUAUGACAAAGGGUCGUAGCACCCAUGGUAUGCUCUAAUAUACAGGGGACGGUCUCCUUUACCAGGGUCUCCUUUACCAUAUACGACAACACUCCUAUCAAAGGUUUUAUGUGGGUCGCUUCCUUCAACCCAUAUUGCUGCAACCUGAGAAGUAGUUAGCGCAUUGUACCUUCGUUGAUCGAGGUUGAUAUUUGUGUUUAGUGAGAUCCUAUAUUCAUCUAGAUUCGGAACAGCACCAAGGCUCUUCAAAACCUGAGCAUAAGGGUUAUGUUCUAGUAUUGUUAGAAUCUUCCGUAUGAGAUCCAGCCUAAGAUUCGGAGACCUCUUAACUCUGUGAAGCAAGUUUUCAUCUGUAUCAUAAAUAUAUAGCUGCAAAUGCCGAGGGCCAUUAUCACCAGAUGACAGAUCAUCAAGAGCGUGGUACAAUCCCCCACAGGCACGAAAUGUAUAUACACCUGUUCCUGCCGCAGUGCUGACUCGACGAUCAAGGGUGACUCCAAGACUGGUGAAUGAGAAGUGGGAGUUGAAAUACCGUAUAUUCUCUCUGAAAUAUUUUGCAUCCUCAUCAUCCUGACUUGUGAACAAUCGUUUCAACUCUUCAUCAAUGUCUGGAGUAAAUACACCAACUUUUCCCUUCCUGCAACAAAAUGCAGGGCCCUCGUAUUGGAACCGCAAAGCUCCACAGUGGCAGCAGUCGCUAACUUUUCUAAGUACAUGGUGAUUUUUGGGCAGGUUCAUGUAAACUCUGUCAUGAUGCUCAUUAGUGAUAGUUCCAUCACCAUGAUGCCGUGCCACUCGGUAGGAUUCAAAAUCAACAUCUGGAAAAGAAUGGACAGUUGCAUUAUUUAAAGUUUGUGCACAAACCAUAUAACUAUCUUAUGUCGUAUUCAUAACUCAUGAUAGCAAUAAUCUACCUGGUCUAGCAAACAUCCUAGCUUCUUCAUCAGGGUCAACAUCACCAGUUUCUCCAAGGUUCCGGUCUCCCAAGCAGUCUAGUAAAUCAUGAAUAGGACAGAGUUAUGACACAUAUUAUCGGGGUAGAGGAAUCUUAAACUGCCAUUUUGCAUACCAUCAAGUAUUACGGUCUGGACAUCGGGCUCCAGUAUUCCAUACGCAUCUUCGCCGUGGUCGUUGCCUGAUAACAUUGGUUGACCCCAGUGAGUAAGUAGCAGGGAUGAACUGAAGAGAUGAACCAAAUGCUAGUCUCAAUCGAAUGAAGAACAGAGUGCUCAAUUAAAGGAGAAACAAACACUAUUGAUAAUUUAGCAACUUAAUUAAAUCGAUGAACUAACCCUGAUCAUGAAAAGUUACCCCUGGGGUACGUAGAUUGACGACUGUAUUGAGUUGGGGGUUGUCAACCCCUGCCAGUUCUGUGAGUGUCAUUCUUCUUGAACUUCGUUGCAUCUGGUACGCAUCAUUUCUGUGCAGCCAAUCGGAUUCAUCAUUGUCAGAAAUAUUCUCCUUGUCAGUUUGUAUGAAUCCAUUGUAUGGUCCUAAAGUUGGUAAUGCACCAUCUGGGCCUGUGAUGUUCUGCAGCUGGGUGACCGCCUCUUGUCCAGUAGCUGGCAUAUGCGACAGAAGGUUACUGCCAUUGAAAGCAGCAGUAAUGCUCUGCAGUUGGGUGACCGCCUCUUGUCCAGUAGCUGGCAUAUGCGACACAAGGUUACUGACAUCUGAAGCAGCAGUAAUAUUUCUAUUUUGCUCACGGGUUUGGCGUUGUCUCUUUAAUAUUUCCUCUCUAUUCUGUGCAUAACGCUCCCUUUCCCUCCGAUUCUUAGUCUCAUUAGUGACUGAACAGAUGAAGAAAAAAUAAUUACAGGCCAAUUCAAUUGGGGCAUAGAUAAUGAAAUUUGAUCAUCAUUACCUUGUGAUACACCUAGCUGUGCCGGUGUUCCGUUUUGUAGGCCAUCUAUUUCCUCAGUGGUAUUUUUUUUCUUUUGUACGCUUCAUGCCUUCUCUUAUUAAUCUCAUCUUUAUUUUUUGCAUACCACUCUCUGUCCCUCUGCCUUUUUAGUUCCUUUGGGUCUGCAAAUCAUGACAUAGUUCAGCAGUUGUAAUACUGUAUCGAACUUGAGUGACUGGGUUAUGAUCAAUACCUGAUGUUUGGUUGUUGCUUAUAUCCUGGAAGGGGAGGCGCGUCCUGACUGGGUUUUGAUCAAUACCUGAUGUUUGGUUGUUGCCUAUAUCCCGGAAGGGGGUGCGCGUCCUGCUGGGAGUGGGAGUCCUGUUGGGAGUGGUAGGGCCCAUACGAAUACGAACUCCUGUAAAAACAUGUGAGAUCAUUAUAUUUAAUGUAGCGCAAGACCAUCAUUUAGAAUAUGAAACCAACAACCUCGAAAUGUAAUGCUGUACUUUAUAAAAGAUUCAAUCGCAAUUGUCGCUUUCAAGAGGCCUCAUGCAUAGGGUGUAUUUUCUUAUGGUCAUAUGAUUUUGAGGGGACAUCUUUGUAAUAGAUUCAAUCGCGAUUGUCGCUUUCGAUCAAGAGGCCUCAUGCAUAGGGUGUAUUAUCUUAUGGUAAUAUGAUUUCGACGGGACAUUGGCGGUAAACAUGUAGCUCUGUAGUUUGUAAUAAUAUUCAUAUAGAUUAACAGAACAUUGUGGCAAACUACAAAGAUUUGUUUCAGUCAUAGGUUAGGUCAGUGGUAUCAAAUUUUCAGUACCAUGGGGAUCUGCUGAGGAUCUGUGGUAUGAUUCCACUUGCUCAUGCACUUUAUGAUUGGUUUUCAUAACAUAUGCUCACGGCAUAUGGUUCAUCUCUUGCAUCGAUUACAUGGACAAUCAUAGAUCCUAGUACGUGGACUAACCAUGGUUUCACUAUUUAUGUAGAACUAUGCAGAACAGAAACAGGAGCAAUGAACGGAUGUCAUUGUUAACAUCUUCACAUGCGUGCAAAUCAGCCUGUCGAGGAGUUUGCCGCCGCCGAUGCGCAGUCCGGAGACAGUCGCGUCAGUGUGGGCGACGGCGUCUGAAGGAUUGAAGAGAAAGCAUGCACCUAUGUUGGCGAGGAGGUCGUCGUCGUGGAUGUCGCGGGCGUCGUCCUGGAUGUCGCGUCGUCGGCGUCGUCGGUGCGGGCGUCCUCGGCGCGGGCGUUUCGGUGGAGGGCAACUCUGAAGAGCGACAGGAGGAUUGGUCGCCACUAAUUUUGGAGCGGAUGUGGCUGUUUCGGUGUGUUUUUUCUUUUCUUUUUGUUGGCGUUGGGUGAAGGACGGCAGAGUUUCGUCCGCCCACCUAAAUUGCUUAGCGUACAACGUCAGGGGUACUUUUCUGUAUUCACGGUUAGAUCCCAUUGAGUAGGCUUAUCUUGACCCUCCAAUUGAUGUGUUUUCUUCUGUGUACAGUAAGCGGUGUGCGUUUAGGGGAGUUAACGUUUGCUUAUUUUAUAGUAGUAGAGAUAACACAUGGUAAAAAAAAUCAAAAUCCAAAAAAAAAAAAAAUUGCCAUGAUCUAGAAACUACCCAUGCUACAAAAAAAUUGUGAUGGUUCAAAAAUUCCCAUGUUUCAUAAAAAUGAAAUUGUCAUGGUCCAUAGAAUAAAUUUACCAUGGUCCAUGAAAUGAAAUUGCAUGGUCAAAUUUUUUUACCAUGGUCAACUAAAAAAGAUGCCACCGUCUAUAAAAUAAAUUUGAUAUGGCCCAAAAAUCAAAAUUACCAUGGUAAAUUACAAAAAAUAAUUACCAUGGUAAAUUACAAAGCAUGCACCUAUGUUGGCGAGUAGGUCGUCGUCGUGGAUGUCGCGGGCGUCGUCCUGGAUGUCGCGUCGUCGGCGUCGUCGGUGCGGGCGUCCUCGGCGCGGGCGUUUCGGUGGAGGGCAACUCUGAAGAGCGACAGGAGGAUUGGUCGCCACUAAUUUUGGAGCGGAUGUGGCUGUUUCGGUGUGUUUUUUCUUUUCUUUUUGUUGGCGUUGGGUGAAGGACGGCAGAGUUUCGUCCGCCCACCUAAAUUGCUUAGCGUACAACGUCAGGGGUACUUUUCUGUAUUCACGGAUUAGAUCCCAUUGAGUAGGCUUAUCUUGACCCUCCAAUUGAUGUGUUUUCUUCUGUGUACAGUAAGCGGUGUGCGUUUAGGGGAGUUAACGUUUGCUUAUUUUAUAGUAGUAGAGAUAACACAUGGUAAAAAAAAUCAAAAUCCAAAAAAAAAAAAAUUUGCCAUGAUCUAGAAACUACCCAUGCUACAAAAAAAUUGUGAUGGUUCAAAAAUUUCCAUGUUUCAUAAAAAUGAAAUUGUGAUGGUCCAUAGAAUAAAUUUACCAUGGUCCAUGAAAUGAAAUUGCAUGGUCAAAUUUUUUUACCAUGGUCAACUAAAAAAGAUGCCACCGUCUAUAAAAUAAAUUUGAUAUGGCCCAAAAAUCAAAAUUACCAUGGUAAAUUACAAAAAAUAAUUACCAUUGAUCAAAAAAUAAAUCUGCCAUGUACAAUUUCUUUUGUAAUAUUACCCUUAAACAAAGGGAAGAAACUAGGGUUCGAACCCGGAUCUCCCAAAUGGAGGCUUAAGGUGUUAGCUAGUGCAGUGAACUACUGUGUUUGCACAUAAGAGCGUUCCCGCCGGCUUUAUGUUCUACCAAACAAGUUUUACUAGAACUGAUGUGUUUCCUCUUUGCUGCUUCAUGAUCUGUGCGGUUAUCCAACGGCAUCUAGCACGUUCACGUGAGGUGAGUAAAAAUCAACGUCAAAGUUUUUUUUAGCUUUUUUGAAGUUAAUAUCACAUGUCUCUAGCACAAUAAUAUGAUUAAGACCCUCGUCCACAUCUUUAUCUUCGUGUCGGACCCUGCAUAUUUUUUGCCCCCACGCACCAUACUAACUCUCUUUCCGAACCCUUUAUAGGUCCACAUCCUCUAUUUUAACAUUAUUAACAAAUUUGAACAUAUAUAAUGCGGUGAUCUAAAUUUAUAAAAAUAAUAAAACGAGAAGAUAUAAUAUUAGCAACAAAUUUAAAAUAACAAUAGAACAGUAAUAAACAGAUUAACCGGGAGUAGCAGCAGUAGCAAACAGCCCGAUCGCAGUGUAAAAAUGCGAAGCUCCAAAAGCCCAGCUCCACGAAAUGCAGAAUGAGAAGUUGCCCAAUAUUACCAUCGAAGUGCCACCGCCAAGUGAAGCCGAGCGAAUCGGUACGCUCGCCAAAACAGAUCGCUGGUCGUUCCCUCGAUGGAAUCGGUACAGGAGCUCGUUCCCUGGAUGUCUAGCCCAAACUGGUCUGCCUCCAACGGCCCAAACUAGAGCCCAACAAGGCUAGCAGCCUCCCGAGCGGGCCAAAUCACCAGGAGAAGCUACCACGUGCAGAACGCUUCGCUGAUCGCUAGGUGGAGUACGAAGCCAGCUUCUGAAGCAGAUUUUGAUUUUGAGAAGUUUUGAAAGUUUGGAGGAGAUUAGAACAGGCCCUUAAUGUUGAUUCAUGUGAGAUUGAGGUCACUGUGAGCUGGUCCCUUAUCAAGUAUUGAUAGGAGGAAUCUAAUUUCAGUGGUGUGUCUGGCCACUUGACUGUUUACCCUCCUGUCCAAAUUCAAUAUGUUUGAAAUGCUAUUUUGUACUGUUAACGUUAUGACAAUACAUAUUACAUAUUGUUGCAUGUAUGGACAAAGGAUUGAUAUGUUGUCGUUCAGUGUUUUGUGGUAAACCAAUCGCUUACAAAAUAGCUGACUACUAUGGUACAUGUGACCACGCAUUCCAAAAAGGCGUGUUUAACCUUCGCGGUCCAUGGUUGUCGGUCACGCUGCCGACAUGGCACGGCCUUGUCUCGCCUAACACACAUGACCCUGACUUGGCACCGACUGACCAUCAACCCUUAUCCAACCCCACAGUGAGCUUAGUGAACUUAAGGAUAAGGAUGUUAAAACUAAAUCAUACUACUUCCGUCCGGGUUUAUUGAUCCCCAUUGUAUUUCGUACCAAAUUUUGACCAUAGAUUAAACUAAUAAAAUGUUCACGCAUGUCACAAAACAUUAUAUUUUUAAAAACUAUGUUCAAAUACGAAUCCAAUAAGAUAAUUUUUCUUGACAUGCAUUAAUAUUUUAUUAGUUAAAUCUUUAGUCAAAAUUUGGCACAAACUACAAAGGGGACCUAUAAACCAGAACGGAGGUAGUAACUCCCAUCAAUUUAAAGAGUACUUCCUCUGUAAACUAAUAUAAGAGUGUCUAGAUAACUAAAAUAGUAAUCUAAACGCUCUUAUAUUAGUUUACGGAGGGAGUACAUUACAAAUCAGAAAGUUUCAAUUUGAAGGGAACAUCUCAAUUUGCAGCUUGGCGCGUCCGAAACACCUCUUUGGCAACCCCAUAAUACAUUAUUUUACCACCAAGCCAAACAAGAAAAUUCCAGCCAACAGGAGAUCCACCAACCACAUAAGACCCUUGCACUGUUUUCACGAGGUGCUUUGGGUGAUUUGCCAUCUCACUGCUUAGGGUUCCCUUCCCCUCUGGUAUUUUCU